rnacentral:lncRNA from 1 species
ACAAAAACAACCGAGAGAAGAAAACAUGGCUCGCUGUUUUAGAUCACUACUCAUAGCAAUAACAUCCCUGUGGAUGUUAUCUUCAGUACUGAUCAGGUCUUCCGAUGCUGCUGGAAUUGCCACCUACUGGGGCCAACACACCGACGAAGGAAGCCUGGAAGACGCAUGCCGGAGAAAUACCUACGACUACGUGAAUCUUGCCUUUCUGAUAAAUUAUGGCGGUGGCCAGACACCAGAAUUGAACUUAGCUGGGCAUUGUGAGCCAAGCGAUUGCUCCUCGCUUAGUUCUGAGAUAAAAGCUUGCCAGAGCCGAGGCACCCAAGUGCUUCUUUCUCUCGGUGGAGCUCCAAACCUCUCUUCCGCCGAUGAUGCCAAGGAAGUCGCGUCCUAUCUCUAUAAUAAUUUCCUUGGCGGUAAAUCAGAAAAUCGUCCAUUAGGCGAUGCUGUCUUAGACGGAAUAGACUUUCAUAUCCAAGCUGGAAAGAGGGAUUUCUUGGAUGAUCUCGCCAAGGCGCUCUCAGAAUAUAGCACAUCAGAGAGAAGGGUGCACUUAUCUGCAGCACCACAAUGUUUCUAUCCUGACUAUUAUCUCGACGCUGCUAUCAGAACUGGCCUCUUUGAUUAUGUGUGGGUGCAAUUUUACAACAAUCCGCCUUGUCAGUAUAGUAUGGGCAAUGCCAACAACCUCUUCUACAGUUGGAGUUCUCAUUGGGCUUCAUACCCAGGAGUUAAUAAACUAUUCCUGGGAUUACCUGCAUCCCCUGAAGCCGCUCCUAGUGGCGGUUACAUUCCACCUCGGGUGCUUAUUCGCGAAAUUCUUCCCUAUGUCCGGGGCUAUCCCAACUAUGGAGGCGUCAUGCUUUGGAACGCAUUCUAUGACGAGAAUUACAGUCAGGCAAUCAGGCCUUAUAUUAACCCUGAAACGCUGGCUUGCGAUCGCAAGUCCAUGCUAAAGUCCCCAAGCAAUUGCGACAUAAAGAUAAAGUCUUAUGUGACUAAAUAAGUUCCUCUCGUUGUCAUAUGAGAGAUGAAAAAAUGUAAUCAUGGCUGUCUAAGCCAGAGAUAACGUGAAUAAAUAUAACAUGGGUUAUCAAUCCCCAGAGUUUGAUUGUCAAUUCGUGUUUGUUCUUGAUUAUAAUUUAGCACGAACGAUAUCAUUAGUUCUAGUUUCCUCUUAUUCUUCGGGAAAAAAAGGUAUUAAAGAAGAAAAGAACAUGCAAAAAGUGCCAGAUCAAAGUCAAUAUCAUUAGAGAUAUAUGUUCUCCAAAAUCAAUGUGUUCAUACAAGAACCUUUUAUGUUUCGGCACAUCUCUACUGUUGAGAAUAUUUAUGGUUCUGUUUGCUUCCACUCAAUGUUUAUAUUAUAUGUAAAACUAAACUUCCAUCACUUCCAGACUUUAAUGUGAAUUGACGGAGCAGCACAAUUAUCCUGGAAAGUUAUGAAUAAUGCUUUUUUUUUAAUAAUGAAAACAAUGAUGGCCAAAACUUAAGAUUGGUGUAAAAUUCAGUUUAUAGUUUCACAUUAAAAAUUAUAAGGAUGGUAUGAACGCCACCAGGUACUUAUUAUUGUGUUUUAAACUUGAAAAGCACAUUUUUUUUUAUUUGGUUUUUUAUGACACGAUAACUUGAUGAUCCAAUUAUUCAAGUUGCCAAAGAGGGUGGCUAGAAAUAAAAGUCUAAAAUUGAAGAACUAAGUGCACUUUUGAUAUACUUGAAUUUAUUGUUUAUUAUAUGGAAAUAGUUUUUCAAUUUCAAAUGAUUUUGAUAUUUCGAAUGCUUUGGCAAGUUUAUUUGGACAAAGCUGUAGAAGCAGAAUAAGGGAAAGCCUUGGAAUAUAAUGAUGAUGAUGCUAAAAAUGAAGAUGUUAGUGUUUGAUUUGCAAAAGCAUUGGUAAGAAUAGUACUUAUUAUCUAGCUCUUUGGCCUUAUUAGUUUUUAGAUUUUCCUAAUAGUGUCAUUCUACACUUGUUUUUCUUUUUCAAGAUGAAGAAGAUUCAGCUGGUAGAGAAGUCAAGGAAGAGAUUAUAAUUUGUGUUGGCUUUAUUGUAGUACAAUUUAAUUAUUUUUUGGUAAAAUUUUAAUGUCUUUAUUACCAAGCAAUUAUGGAUUGUAAUCUCUCAAAGAAAAGGAAAAAACAAGAGAGAUUAUAUUAUUGAGAAAUUCUAUUAAUAAAGAUAAAGCUGUAGAAUAUGUAUACAAUGAUAAAUUACAACAAGUUACCAUAUUAUACAUUUCCAAUUUUUCAAAAAAAAAAUUUGAGAACAACACAACUACAAUUUUACUAUUUACAAGAUUUCACGACAAGUACUCACUCCCGCACCUUGCGUGGGUUCACCCCUAGUUUCACAAUAUGAGAAUAAGAAGAAAUAUUUACAGCAAAGUUUAGAGACUCUAGAAUACAGGAAUGGGACAGGUACGAUCGACUACAGGUGCAAUUGACGCAGUUGUUAUACCCUUUUCAUGAUUUGAUUUAUACUUACAUAAUUUCGCUGUAUUUUAUGAUUUGGUGUAUACUCACAUAAUUUUUAUUAUAUUUCAUGAUAAAUAAUAAAGUUAUAUGAGUAUAUAUCAAAUUAUAAAAAAGUACAAUAAUCGUGCCAACCACAACUAAUACCACACCGUACUUGUCCUACUGGAAUACUUAGUUAAUAUUCGAGACUGAGACCAUAGAGCAUUAAUCCUUCUCACAUUGUAUCAAACAGAGGUACUGUUUGACAAUUGAAUUUUUUGGGUGUUUGUCCAAAAUUUUACUAUAAGUUAUCGUAAAAUUUGUAAAAAAAAAACUUGUUUGGAUGGUAAAACUUUCUUCCUUUUUUUUAUCUUUUCUUUUUCCUCUCCUCUUGUUUCUCCCCCACCCAACCAUUGCUCUUCCUCCUCCCCUUCUUCCCACUACUAGCCACCAUUGCCGGUACCUUUGUCGGCAAUCGACAACGGUGCCAGUAGACCUAUUUUUUUCUUACUCUCUUUUCUCCCCUUCUCCCCCCCUCUCCUUCCUCCCUUUCCUCCUUUCUUCUCCUUCUUUCCUCCUUCCUACUCCCUCCCUUUGGGAGAUGGAGGACCGGAAGGGGGAGCGGGAUAGGGAGGGAGGAGGAAGGAGAUAGAGGAGAUGAGGAGAGGAAGGAAGAAGGAAGUAGAAGAGGGGAAGAGGAGAGAAGGAGGGGAAAAAAGGGAUGAGGUUGCCAAAGGCGCCGCCAAAGUGCCAACUAGCAGUAGUGGUGAUGGUGGGUUGAGACGUGGGAAGGAGGAAGAAGAAGAAGAAGAAGAAAAGAAAGAAGGAAAAAAUUUUUUUGUGUGUUUUUAGAUAUUUUCAAGUGUGUAUGUUGAAAAGUUCUUGAAGAGUUUUUUUUCAUUUUAUUGUAGUUAAAACUGUUAAAAAAACUUACAAAUGAAAAACUUAACAAAAAACUCGCUAAAUAGGACUAGAGUUUUGAUGGGCUAUGAUGACACAACGGAGGCAGCUCCUCCAUCCAGCCUAAGGAUAACAACAGAUGCAGCUCCUCCAUCCAGCCUAGGGAUAUCUGUAAUCUAAAGAAAGCUCCAGAACAGAGAGGUGGAACCAGAAAUAGUUUCUACUAGGCGCACAAACUGCUCCUAUUGGUUAAUUAGAUUGAGUUACAACUUAGAUCAAUGGCCUAAACCUUAACCACUACAAUCACCGACGCAUUUUUCUUUUCUUUUGCUCCAAAAAAAAGCUUAAAGUUAUAGUAAAAAUUAUUGGUAACAAAUGAAAAUCUAAAUUUAGCUCUAAAGUAGGCUAUAUUAUAGUAAUUGAUCCUCUCCUUAAUUUCACUCUUCCAGUAACUUUGAUAUAUCAUAAAUGAUCAUCCAUUAUUAUAGAUCUUGCUUUCUCCUUUCAAAAAUUUUUAAUUUGGAGCAAACUAUUUGAUUUUUAGUCAAGUUCCUACGUUGCACAACUCUACAUUGUGGAAUCUGUGAUUCGUAGUAUCUUGCCAAAUCUUCUUAAUUUGUUUAGUAUCUUGCACAAUCCAGCUUGGAAAGUUGGACUAGUUUGGGAAGUAAAAGAAAUGGAGUGUUGCUCCUAAUUUUUGGCCAUGAGGAAGAGAUCAACAAUUUGUUCAAUAUUUCUUCUUUUAACAUUAAAAGGAAAUGAAGGAGUGCAACAUAAAAUCUCAUAAAAUUUAGAAUCCUGUGUUUUGAUUGCACCCAAAAAAAGAAGAUGAGGUGGAAUUGUGAACACGAUAGAGACUUAGUAGAAUUAAUCAAAAGAAUUUAUUCUGGGAAUUAAUCAAAAGAAACCAUAAAAUAUUAUAGAAUUCAAUGGCCUAGACAGCAUUUGAUAAAACUGAAAAUUGAUUUCUGAAAUAUAAAGACUGAAAACUAAUUCCUAAGUUCUUAAUUUGCUUAUAUCCAUGAAGUCACAUCUAUUUGAUAAUCAAUUUAAUGCAAGCAUUGAAUUGAAAUAUUUAUUCCAUAUGUAUUUUGUAGUUUUUUUUUUCAACCAAACGUUGUACCAUUAUUCAAGCUGCCCAAGAAUACAAUGCUGGGAGGAAGGCCGCACCCUUACCUCCGAAACGAGAAACGAAAAUUACAAAAAUUCUGCUUAUCCAGUGCCAGUAACCCUCUAGUACGACACAGUAAUUGAGAAGCCCAAUGUAUUUUGUAGUUUAAUCCUAAAUGUGAAAGGUGUGUUUUAUGUUAGAUUAAUUUUUAAAUAUUAUUUUUUUGAUAAAUGUUUGUUUGAAAGAAGAAAAGCAUAGAUUCUACAUGUUUGAAGGGGAGAUUGUAUUUAGAUGUAUUAUAUAGAAGAAAAAAAAUAUAUAUAUAUAUAUUCUAGCGAGAGAGAACGUGUGUGGAUGUGUGAAAAUGUGAUCGAAAGAGAGUGUGUGUAUACUGUGUGAAAGUGUAUUGGUGAGCGCAAUGAUUCUUUUGAGUGAAUAUGAUUAAUACAUAUACUAGUUCAACAAAUUAAGUGAUACAACUUUCGUGUAAAUUUUUGUAUGUAAAUCAAAUGUGUCAUAAAUAUAAGCAAAUUUUAUUAUCAAACAAAUGUAGCAGGAAAGAAGUACUUAAUACAAUAACUUUGCGUACUUAAUGAGGUUAUCAAAUAUCUCCUUAACUCUAGAAAAAUAGUCUAUUAACAAAUUUGUGUUGAACUUAUUAAAUUGAACCAUGAAAUUUUUCCCAAGACCUCCAUUUAAUAGUGGGAUUUGUGUUGCAACAUGGUGAGGAUAUUGGACAGGUAACUAUGAGGUCGUAGUCAAACUUUCAAGAGAGAAGGAAAUGGUAAAAGAGCUCUUUACUUGGCUUUAAAUGCUGUAUCUUUAACGGGUAGGGUUUUUUUGGGAAGGGUUCCAAAAACAAUCAACGAAGGCUAGUGGCAAAUCAGCACGGAAAGAAGAUAAACCGAGAUUUCGGCGGCAGCUGGCAUACUUUCUUUCCUGAUUGCGAAACACCAUGUCGAAGCUAGGGUAUUUUAUCCAACCAGCCUAGAUUAGAAUUUCAAGACGUACGGCUUCUUCGAGUAAAGAAAGUUCAGCCACGAACACUCCUUUCACGACCUAUUCAGAACUAAGUACACCUUAGAACAGAAGUGCUCGUUAACUAGAUUCCCUUCUUAUUUCAAAAUCAAUACUGAUGGGUCCUCGAUCCAUGGGGAACUCGGGUCCAGCUGGAUCAGGUGACUUGAAUAGAAAUCACCUAGGACACUAGGUAGCGGCCUUUAGCAAAAAAUUAGGACCCAUUACCAAUAUCCUUGCUCAGUUGUGGGGGACAAGAGAUGGGGUAUCCUUAGCUUCCUCUCUCACUUGCAAAAUAUUGAAUUAGAAGUUAAUGCUAAAACUGCUCUAGAUUUGAUUAAAUCUGUUGAUACCUCAACUCAUGAGUAUGAUUCAAUUAUUUCUAAUUGGCAGGUUCCUGAUCUCUGUUCUGUCGAAAGUUAUACUUAGAUAUACUUAUCGAAAGUUAAUCAGUAUGAAGAUAGAUUAACGAAAUUAGGUGCUCAGCAAGACACGAUUUUUGUAUGUUAUGAAAGUGUCCCUCCUAAUUUAAAAAUCUAGUAGAUGCAGAUAUUAAGGGAAUUUGUCACUUUGUGCCUAUAACUUAAUAGUCCCUUUGUUACAAACAAAAAAAAAAAAAGAAAGAAAGAAAGAAAGAAGGUUCAGCGACUGGCAUUUGUUCAAUAUGAAUCAUAUUACAAAAAAGGGGUUCAUGAAACAUGCAACACCACACUGCAGAAGUGGUAGGCGCCGCAUCUAUCGAUGAUGAUUGAGACCAAACUUGAUGAGAAGAUUCUAAAACAGGUGUCUCAAGAAAGCUGUAAUAGAAAAACAUGUCAACGUAAUCAGGAUUUCCAUCGUAGAAUUUAGCAAACCGCAUAUACCCUAGAUCCUGAAAUCCUUGGUGCAACUGACUCAUCAUUAACAGAGCUAUGUUUGAAAAGAUGUCAGUUUCUGCAAGAGCAUGAACCUCAAAAGAAUUUGAAGAAAUUGUCACUGGUGGAGAUAGGUAUCAAGGAUGAAUUUUGCAGUUAACUUGGUGCAAAAGUACAGGAAUCUCGUGACUCUGAAAACAAGAAUCAGGACGGGUUUGAAACUAUCAAUUUGAAAAGAGAAAACACAUUCAAGAGGCAAUAUUUUAAGUUGUUUAACGAAUAAAAAUGUUGAAAAGUAUAUUAAUAGAAACUUGUAAAAAUGAAAACUUACAUGAACGCAACUGUGGCCUAUACAUUUUUUUGCCUGUGACAACAUUUUUCCUUCUUUAUAUUUUUUUAACUUUAGUGCUGUCAAUUCAAUUUAAAGUAUCUUUCAUUUCAGCAUACCUGUCCAUUGAUAGUCUCAUACUUUAUGAAUUACUUUGUUUUUUUUUGAGCACUUCAUGAAAAACUUUGUCAUGUUAUGACCCAAUAAUUUGUCCAUAACCUGUGAUCGACUUUUUUCUGAGCACUUGAUGAAAAACUUUGUCGUGUAUUGUUCUAACAAUGUGUUUUCUAACAAUUUUGUCCAUAACCUUUGACUCAAUUUACUCGCAACCUAAUGAAUACACAAGCACCCUACUCCCGCACAAUUGGACGGGCUUAAUUCUCUAGUCUUUUUUUUUUUUUUUCUCUUUUGAUAAAAACAUCAUCAUUUUGUUGAAUCUGUAGUAGUGGGAGAAAUUACAUCAAUGAUAUAUAGAUAUAGAUUUGAAGAACAAAUGCUAGAUGUUGUAGAUCUGAAUAAUCAAAAGCGUCUUUAUUGUGGAACUCAAAAAACAUCAAAUGAUAUCUGCGCAUACUUCCACCGAUACCAUUUACUUUCUCCUAAAUAUGCUCAUGAACUGAUUCAAGCCUGGAUGCUUAGAUGAGAUCUGAAGAGAUAGAUUUAAGAAAUCUCAAAUCUGGCAACUAAGUCUUAAAAAAAAUUAGAUCUAACACUAGAAAUAGAAAAACUACAAAAAGUCCACUAAGAAUCCACAAAAUCACCAACAUCAUCUUUACUGCAGCCAUCGUCGACCAUUCGAUCUUCAAUUUUACUUCCCUUCGAUCAACUUUUUUUCAUCAGAUUUCAUCAUAUCAUCAACCUUAUUUCAUCAAAUUUAAAUUUCACAAUCCUAAAAAGGAUAAACCAAAACAUCAAAAAGAGCCCAAUCUUGCAAAAUUUUAACCUUGCACACCACUGAAUUAAGCCCUCUUUUGCAAAAUUUCUUUUUCAUAAAAAUUUGUGAGAAUUAAUGUGUGCAACCUAUGAAUGUUUGGAUUUUUUUAGAUUAUUAGUCUUCUUGAAUUUGUCCCCUCCUUAAUUUAUUUAGUCAUUUGUAUGCAAUUUUGUAAUCAUAUAUUCUUUUUACGUGAGGAAGACUGAUUUUGGAUGAAUUUUCUAUUGACUCAAUAUCAAAUUUGCCAUAGCAUGUUGGAAAAAUGCCUAAACUAAAUUCAUGGUUGUUCAUUGUUUCUUUCUUCUUCUCUUUUUGUUUUUUUUUGGUGUAGCUAGAUAUUGAAAGGGUUGAAGAAAGGGGAAGGAAAAUUUAGUAUUGAAUUUGAGUCUUUGCACUUGCAAUUAAUUUGUAGGUGUUCUUGGUUUCUUACAGUUGAUGACGGAUUAUUACUGACGAGUUCCAUGUGAACUAUCUUCAAUUACAAAUAGAAAUAAACCGGAAAUAUUUCUUAGAAUGGUACCCUAAGAUAAUGAUUAUGAAAUCAAUAAUCAUCGCAAGUGGAUUGUCAUAAUUAAAUAUGUAAAGAUAUAUAAUACUGCAGCCGGUUUGUUUGUGAUGGCUAAUCUUUUCCUAUGUGCUCCAUUUAGUGAAACUUCAUCUAUCUUGAUCACGUGAACCACGUACAAUCAUAUGUACAACCAGUUAAUUUAUUUGGGUCCUUGCAAGUAAAUUUUCAAUUCAGAUUUAUUGUUUGCUUCGGGAUAGAUUUAACUUACCAAAAAAGAAAAAGUAAAUUUCAGCAGCAAAGCCUUCAAGUAAUUUUGAAGUGGGAAAAUCAUUUAAAAGUCCCUCACAUUUCACUAAAUAAAAAUUUUUUUAUCCUUCACUUUAAAAUAAUAACUUUACGUUUCUUAUAAAAUCAAGUCAGUAAAAUUUAGUUCAACUUAAGUUUUUUACUACUUUUUACCCUGAAUUCAUCACAUAAUCCAAAUAUGGUCAUUUUUUUGGGACAAAAAGGUUAAAUCUCAUUUGUAGUCAAACAAAUGAUUUGAUCCAUAACUAUUUUGACACUAAAGAGUAGGAUCUGAUCUAAAUCAUAUUUAUUUUUCUCUUGAAAAGUGGGAUCUAAUUUAAUUCAUAUUCAUUUUUAUCCUAAAAAAGUGAAAUUUGACUUUUUUGUAUAUAAAAUAAUUUCAUGGGAGUCACAUGGUGAUUUCAAGUUAAAAAGUGGUAAAAAAAAACUUAGAUUCGAACCAAAUUUUGUUAACUUGAAUUUAUAAGGAACCUAAAACUAAUAUUUUAAAAGAAAAACGAAAAAAUUCAUUUGACAAAAUAUACGAGACAUUUUGAAAGAUUUUCCCUUCUGAAGUUGUCUUUUGAAUAUUACCUAUCCUUUGAUUUCCUAUUGUACUCCCUUUCAGUGAUUUAUUGGGAGCUCCUCUUUGGAAAUGUUCCUCACAAUGGGAUCUCAACGUUAUUUGAAAACAUGAAAAUUGCAAAGACAAGUUGGUCAUAAGCCGAUGACAUUAGCCUUAUUUGGAUUACAAGUUUUCACAGAAAAAUUUUAAAAUAUUUCUUGACAUAUUUUUUAAUCACAUUUUUAUCUUAUAUAUGUCAUAUUUAUUAUUAUAAUAUUUUUUUUUUAUAAAAUGCUAUAAACUUAUAUACAUCCUAUUAUCUUAUGUAUGUCAUAUUACUAUAGUAUAUUUUCAACGAGACUGUGAACUUACAAUUCAAACUGUAACUUUCAUUUUAGUGCGUCCCUUCUAAGUGAUUUUAGUGCGUUCACUUCAAUUCAUGCACGUGAAGGGGAAGGACUGGUCCAGAAUUCUGUAGAAGGACAAUAAUUUGGGUAAGGACUGGAAAAUUCAAUUGAAACAAGACAAGAAUGUCGCAUUCGAAGUGCGAUAAUUUUGGUGUCAAUCAACGUCACUAUUAAAAGAAGAUAAGAUUGUUGAUAAAUCCAUACAUCAAAUCCGUAUCCAAUAUCUUUACUCGAAAAUUGUGCUCCCGCAAGAAAGUACAAGUAAACUCUUAUAUUCAUCAAAUAUGAUGUGGCCGACAGAAAAGUUCAGGCUAAGAUGCUCUUAUACUUGAGUGAAGGGAGAAGGUUGAUUUAAAUUAUUACUGUCAAAGAAAUUCAUUUAACUAAAUUUAUCUAUAUUCGCUCAUAAAUAAAUGAGUAUGUGUAUAUUAAAUUUUUACAUAUGGAUAUAAAUGAAUAUUAUUAGAUAACCCAUCAAACUUAAUUAAUCCAUUUAAAAUUGUCUUCUCCCAAACUUUCUCUCUUCCUCCACCCUUUUUUUAAAUUUUUUUUUCAUUUUGUCAUGAUGUUAACUACUUUUGUUUCAUUAUUAUUAUUAUUAUUUGUUAGUUUUAUCUUAUCAUUUUAUUUUCUUUUAAUUUAUUAACUUGCUCAUUUUUCAAUAUUACCAAUUUAUGACAAGUUUUAAAUUCUUUUCUUAUUUUUCCAAAAUAAAAUUUUAAAUUUACACACAAAAAAAUGCUAGGGUUCAAAACUUUUGGAUUAAUUUUUUAUGUUAACUUUUAUAAUAUUUAGUUCAAAUUUUUAUAUUCUUAUUGUUUAAUUAUGAAAUAGUAUGUAAUUUUGCGACAUAGAGUACGGAUGGGAAAAAAAUUGAUAAUUAGGCUUAUUGAACAUUAUAAGUAAAUAUUUAAAACUAAUGAUGGGUGCAAAGAAUGGUAUAAAUUGAUAACUUAGUUUGCAAAAAUGAAUUUACAAAAAGUUAAAAAUAAAUGGGUUAUAAAUGGGUAAUUGGGUUACCCAAUUUAUUUUUUGACUUAUCCAUUUAUAUCCAUCUAAUUAAAUGGGUAUAAAUAAGUUGACUCACUUAUAUCCAUUACCCAUUUUACCCAAUCCAAACGCCCAAAUCAUCCAUUUUGACACCUCUAAUUUAAACCUAUUCAUCAUCAAUUUUGAUUUACAUAUUCUAAUAUGUUGCCACAAAAAAAUCAGGGACAGGGAAAAUUAUUUUAAAAUAUAUAAAAAUAUGUGAAAAGAGAAAGAGAAUAAAUAUACAAUAUAACUGAAAUAAUUUUAUAAACUAAACUCAACAAUAAGACUCACAAACAACAAUUUUAGAAGCUUUCUCUCAUUAUCCACAACUUAACUCUCUCUUCAAGAAAACAAUGAAAUGGUACUACUCAAUUUAUAGAGUAUCCAACGGACUCUAGUCACAAAGGAAUAGGACAAUGGACAAAUAUAUAUAUAUAUAUAUAUAUUGCAAUUCUGAACCGACGACAGUAUUCCUCUCCAAAAUGAUAAAUGUAACUUGCUAAGCUUUAAUGACCAGACACAUCAACUUCUAAAUUCUUCAACUCACUAGACCAAGAAAAAGAAGUUGCCACAUAACUAAUUUAUUCUAAUAAUUAGUCUUGGUUUAAUUAUCUACACAACCAUUGGUCAUCUUUCUUGGGCAAUUACAUAAUCAAUCCAACCUUGCUACUUGUCAGCCUUGAAGGACAGCGCUUGGAAAUUAAUUAACAGCUUAUCAUAUGCGCUACAAAAUGCAGAAGUUUAAUCUAUAGAUUUAUCUGUAGACCUUGUAAUCAAUUGGUGAGUCACAUUGAUUAAGUGAUGUAUGUUUACUUUUUCGUCCCAUUUAUUUAGUCAUGUUUGACAAAUCUAGCUUUUAAAAAUAGUGAUUUGAUUGUGAUGUUUGUACUUUUUUUUCAAUUUUACUCUCACAAAUUUAAAUUUUAAAUUUGAAUGGUAACAUGAAUAUAAUUAAAAAGAAAGGCUAUAUUUAAAAGGGAGAUUAAAAGGUACUUUGAUUUUUUUUACAUGAUAUUUUUGGAAUAUUCUAAAAUGAAAAAUACAGCAAUUUUAAUGAGACGGAAGAAGUAUAUUAUUAGUAUUAGAUUAUAAAAAAAAUUGAUGUGACUAUAGAGUCCAAAAAUAUCUUUCAAACCCAUUCAGGCUAGGUAAGGAUACGCCAAGAACGAAAUACGGGAAGAUAACAGGUGCAUGGUUGGGACUUGGGAGGAUGAGUAGAAAGGAUGUACUCCUGUUUUUAUUUGUCCAUUCUGUAUCGACGUGGAGACUUGGAGCCGCGAGUUUAGAAAUUAGUGACUUUCAUAGCUAAGGACAGGUUAGGUCAGUACAAUAAUUGCCCCAUCCAUUAUUGCGCAUUAAAAGGGACCCAUUUCUCAUUAUCGGACUCGGAUGUUUGCCUUUAAGUUGCUGGGCACUUAUCUUAAAGGAAUAUUCUUUUUACCUUUUACUGCGUUACAUGCCAAACGAUAGCUAUUAUUAUUAGAACUGCAUAGUUUGUGGGGAUAAUUGCAGAAACCUCCCCUGAGGUUUCUGACAUUUUCACUGACCUCCCCUAUGGUUUGAAAAAUUACACUGACCUCCCCUGAGGUUACUAAUCCUUUGCAAAUUUAGUCCAAACGAUUAAAAUAUUAUUAUUUUAGGGAGUGAAAUUAGAAUUUUGUACUAGAUUUGCCCUUUGUACUACAUGUCCAAUGAAUGACAAAGUAUUAUAAAUCAAUUAACAAUUAAUAAACUUUAAGGAGUAUAACUUAUGGGCAAACACGCAUUACUCAUUUAAAGUACCGGCUCUUUACGGGUAUUUUACUUUCAAACAUUUAAUUUAUGAUAAAUAUAUCAAUAUUUAUACGUAAAAUUCAAAAAGUGUUACAGUAAUAUUCUUGCAAAAAGGAAAUUGGUAGGUUAUUGAUUUAAUAUAAAUUAAAUAUUUUUUUUUAAAAAAGAAAUGGCCCAUAAAGUAUUAAUUCUUUAUGACUUUCAUACAUUACAUAAGUAAAGUAUUCGCUCUUUAUGUGCAUUUUAUUCUGAAUCAUUUAAUUUAUGUUAAAUACAUAAAUGUUUGUAACUAAAAUUGAAAAAGUGUUAUAUUAAUAUUUUUACAGAAAAGAGAUUGGUAGGUUUUGUAUUUAACAAAAAUUAAAUAUUUGAAAGUAAAUACAAAUCUGUAUUUGAGCGUAAAUAUUUGUAUUAAAUUAAAUGUUUGAAAGUAAAAUACCCGUAAAGAGCCGGUACUUUAAAUAGUUACCGGCUCUUUAUGGGCAAACACGCAUUAUUUAUUUAAAGUGCCGGCUCUUUACGGAUAUUUUACUUUCAAAUAUUUAAUUUAUAAUAAAUAUAUCAAUGUUUGUAAGUAAAAUUUAAAAAGUGUUACAGUAAUAUUCUUGCAAAAAGGAAAUCAGUAGGUUAUUUAUUUAGUAUAAAUUAAAUAUUUUUUUCAAAAAAAGAAAUGAUUCAUAAAGUAUUAAUUCUUUAUGGCUUUCAUCCAUUACAUGAGUAAAAUAUUGGCUCUUUAUGGGUAUUUUAUUCUGAAUCAUUUAAUUUAUGUUAAAUACAUAAAUAUUUGUAACUAAAAUUGAAAAAGUGUUAUAUUAAUAUUUUUACGGAAGAGAGAUUGGUAGUUUUUGUAUUUAACAAAAAUUAAAUAUUUGAAAGUAAAUACAAAUCUGUAUUUGAGCGUAAAUAUUUGUAUUAAAUUAAAUAUUUUAAAGUAAAAUACCCGUAAAGAGCCGGUACUUUAAAUAGAUAAUGCUUAUUUGCCUAUAAACUAUACUCCUUAAAGUUUAUUAAUUGUUAAUUGAUUUGUAGUAUUUUGUCAUUCAUUGGACAUGUAGUACAAAGGACAAAUUUGGUACAAAAUUUUAAUUUCACUCCUUAAAACAAUAUUUUAAUCGUUUGGACUGAAUUUGCAAAUGAUUAGUAACCUCAGGGGAGGUCAGUGUAAUUUUUCAAACUACAGGGGAGGUCAGUGCAAAUGUCAGAAACCUCAAGGGAGGUUUCUGCAAUUAUCCCUAGUUUGUGUGAAGAGUGAGAGUCAGAGUAUUAUUCGCGCCUUGAGGUGUUGUGUUUCACGUUUCUAUGUUACACGAAUUUUAUGACUCAUCAGAGAGACAUUCUAUCCUGUUCGGAAAAAAAACAAAAAAAAAGAGAGACAUUCUAAAAUUUGGAUUUUUAUUCAUUAUUGCAUCGGAGUCAGAACCUUGUGAUAAGGGGUGCAAUGGUCAACUUCAGUAUAAAUCAUACUCUUAGAUUUAUAUAAUAAAUAUACGAGUAAAUCUUAUAUACACUGACAGUGUAUACACUAUCACCAUUGGAUUUAUGAUAUAUGUGUAAAAGUUGAAUUUUAAAUUCAAAACUUAUAUAUUUGUCAUUUAUUCAUCGUUGAUAAUGUAUACACUGUCAGUAUAGAAAAGAUUAAUCCUAAAUAUACAGUAUGCUUUUGAUUUAAAAAGUGAAAUCUUUUUUUCCCAUUAAUGUUUAAUUUGAAAUAAAUCCUAAAUUUUUUUUAGAGGUAAUCAAUAGAAAGUAUUUUUUGGAGUCAAUGUAGAAUAAGUGAGGAAUAUAUAAAGCUUCAAAAGAUAACCUAUAUAAAGAAGGGAAUUUUCUUAAAUUUGACGGGAGCAAUACAACUGAAAGAGAGAAUUUUAUAAAAUUCAAGGGUGCAACACAUGGUAUAAACUUAAUAAUCUUGAAAAAUUUGAAGGCCAUUGUACAAUUUUAUCAAAAUUGAGGGGGCCGGGGAGGGAGGGAGGGCAAUUGUCCACUCCACAAUCCUAUGUGGCUCUGCCACUGGAAUACUUAUCAAUCGAAUAGAUAGUAUGAUAGACCGCCAGCCUUUGGCCAGUGGCCACCACCUAGCUUGGUGGGGUGGGAGGCAAGGCAAAAUGCCACAUUUAAGUGGUUUGCUUCAAAAAAUUCAGACGGGUGUGUUGUGCACCCGUUUGAUUCGGUGGUGGUUCAGUCCCCUUCGGGUUAUUCUUGGGCCUCCUUAGGUCCGCCCCCUCCCCCUUAGUGUAGAAUAGAUUAGGUUAUACAACAGUUGUCGUUUCCGAAAAAAAAAAAAAAAAUAGAUAGUAUGAUAAGAUUUUAACAGCAAAAAUUGUUAAAAAAAAGGGAUUCUUUGCCGUACUAUUCGACCCAUAAUCCGAGGGGGUAAGGUGGGAUCAACUCCAUGGCACAGAGAGGCAAAGUGCCAUUCAUCGCCUAAUAGAUAAAUCCUUCUCUCAGUUAAAAGCCACAUUGGUUUGCAUCUAUCAAUUUGAAAAAAAAAAAACUAAUUUAAGAGGCAAUAUUUUAAGUUAUUUAAGGAAUAAAAAUGUUGAAAAAGCAUAUUAAUAGAAAACUUGUCAAAAUGGAAACUUACAUGAACUCAACUUUGGUCUACAAUAUUUUUUUUUGUUUUUACAAUUCUUUUCUUAAUAUUCUUUUUAACUUUAGUGCUGUCAAUUUACUUCAUGGCCCAAAGGCAAAAAAAAAAACAAAGACUAGUGAUUGACACACGAACAAUCUUUAAUGCAAAUUUCAAACUCAUUAAGAAAUGAGAGUGUGAAAUUAUCAGAUUGGAUUUCAGUGAAAUGGGGAUUUUAAACAUUCAACGCGAAGCAUCUAAGCUGGAUCGCGGGCUGGAUGACAUUGAAAUUGUGGUGAAGAUAAGUUUUCAAAGUCUCUUUCAUUUCAGCAUACUUUAUGAAUAAACUUUUUUCUUGAGCACUUUAUGAAAAGAAUAUUUUACUCAGUUUACUCACUAACUAAUGAUUACACAAGCACUCAACUUCCGCACAUUUGCACGGGCUUAAUCUUGUAUUAUUAUUAUUUUUUUUAUAAUAAUAAUAAUAAUAUUAUUAUUUACUUCUUCCCGAAUGUGCUAAUGAGCUGGUUUAAACCUAAAUGGUAAGGUGAAAUCUGAGGUGAUAGAUUUAAAAAUUUUCAAAUUUGGCAAUCAAAUUUGAAAAACGAAAAAAAAGAUCUAACACAAGAAAUAGAAAACUACAAAAAGUCUCACUAGAAAUCCCGCAAAAUCACCAUCGUCAUCUUUACAGCAGCCAUCGUCAACCAUUCGAUCUUCAAAUUUACUGUCUUUGGAACAAAUUUUUUUCAUUAGAUUUCAUCAUAGAGCCCAAUCUUGCAGUUCACUGUGCCAGCACUGAAGUAAGCCCUCUUUUCCAAAUUUUUUUUUUGUAACUUGAAAUUUGUGUGAAUUAAUAUGCGCAUCCUAUGGAUGUUUGGAUCUUUCAUUUUAUUAGUCUCCUUGAAUUUGUUGUCCCUUUGGUCAUUCGUAUGCAAUUUUUUAAUCACAUAUUCUGUUUACCUGAGGAAGUCUGAAUUGUGAUGAAUUUUGUAUUGAUUCAACAUCAAAUUUGAUUAAAGGAAAAAGGAAACUGGCCUACGAUCAUAGCAUGUAAGCAUGAUGGAAAAAUGCCUAAACAAAAUACAUUGUUGUUCACUGUUUUGUUUUCUUUGGUGUAAUUGGAUAUUGAAAGGGUUGAAGAAAGGGGAAGGAAAAUUUAGGAUUGAAUUGGGGUGUUUGCACUUGCAAUUGAUCUGUAGGUGCUUUUGUUUUCUUACAGUUGAUCAUGACGGAUUAAUUUUUUUUUUGGUAUUAACCACAGGUGUCCGCAUCCGUUUUACGGUCUACGACUAAUUCUGUUCUAGUCACGUUGGACCCUUUGUAGGGGGAAUCUCUCCCAACGUUGUUUUUUCCAUCCUCAUAGAUUUCGAACCCGAGACCUCAUGGUUAAGGGAUGCAAGCCCCUUCCACUUACACCAACAUUCGUUGGUGACGGAUUAUUACUGACGAGUUCCAUGGGAAUUAUCUUCAGUUACAAAUAGAAAUAAACGGGAAGUGCUUCAUAGGAUGGUAUCUUGAGACAGUGAUUGGGAAAUCAGUAACCAUCGCAAGUGGAUUGUCAAAAUUAAAGAUGUAAAAGACAUAUACGACUGCAGCUGGAUUGUGAUGGCUAAUCUUAUCCUAUGUAGUGAAACUUCUUGAUCUCGCGAAACAUGUACAAUCAUAUGUACAACCAGUUAAUUUAUUUGGGUCCUUGCAAGUAAAUUUUCACUUCAGAUUUAUUGUAGUGAUUGUAACAUAUAUUUUGUGGCUUUGGAACAGAUUUAACUUACCCAAAAAAAAAAAAAAAUUAAAUCUCCACUGCAAAGCCUUAGAGUAAUUUUGAAGUUCAGUCUAUUGAACACUGCCUAUCCUUUGCUUUCCUAUUGUACUCCUUUUGAGUGAUUUAUUUAGAGCUUCUAUUUGGAAAUGUUCAAACCUGACAAUAAGCUCUCAGUGUUAUUUCCAUGAAAACUGCAAAGAGAAGUUGAUCAUGCAAAAAACUACUGUAGCUGACAAGAUUGGCGUUAUUUGGAUUGUCGGUUUUCACUUAAAAAUUUUGAAAUAUUUUUUCAAUAUAUUUUUCAAUCACUUUUUUAUCUCACAUAUAUCAUAUUAUUAUAAUAUAUAUAUUUUUUAACGAAACUCUAUAAACUUACAAUUCAAACUGUAACUUUUCAUUGUAGUGCGUCCUUCAAAGUGACUUUCGUUUUAGUCCGUCCAUUUUAAGUGAUUUUAGUGCGUCCACCUCAAUUCAUGCACAGGAAGGACUGGUCCCAGAAUUCUGUAGCAGGACAAUGAUUUAGGGUGGCCUGGAAAAUUCUAUGGAAACAAGGCAAGAAUGUCACCUUUGGGGUGUCCAAUAAUAAUGUUAGUGUCAAUCAACCUCACUAUUAAAAGAAGAAAAGAUUGUUGAUAAAUCCAUACAUCAAAUCCGUAUUCAAUAUCUUUACUCGAAAGUUGUGCUCCCAAGAAAGUACGAGUAAACUCUUAUUCAUCAAUUUGCAUAAACAAUAGGGUUAAUCACAUUUUAUCCCCUUAAAGAAUGCCCAAAUUUUCAAUUUACCCCCUAACCUUUAAUUUUGCUCACUUAACUCCCUUUAGGACAAAAUUGCCCUUGUAUUAUUUUGACUUUUCAUUUACCUUAUUUUCCUUUCUUUUAUUUCUUUCUCUCUUUCUUCUUUAUUUAAUUCUUCUUCUUUCCCACAAAAAUCUUCACCUUAAUGAUUGAAAUUAAAAAAGAGGAAUUGCAGAUAUCUAUCUUCUCCUUAAAUGAUUAAAAAAAUAUUCAAAUCACUUUCCUAAAAUAUAAUUUUUUUAGCCUUUCAAUUCUUUUACUUUUGGGUUUUCCUCUUUCCUUUCUAGUUUCUCAUUUUAUUCCCAAGAAAAUAUCUUAAGAUGAAAUUGUGAUCUGAUUAAUAAACAUGAAUGAAGGGAGAAGGUUGAUUGAGGCCCUAUUCAUCCUCAAAUUUGAUUACAUAUUCCAAUCUAUUGCCACAAAAAAAAAAAAAUCAUGCUCAGCAAAAAUUAUUUUAAAAUAUAGGAAUAUAUGUGAAAUAUAACUUAAUCGUUUUAUUAACUAAACUCAACAAUAAUGCUUACAAAUAACAAGUUUAGAAGUUUUCUCUCAAUGUCCACAACUUACCUCUCUCUUCAAGAAAACAAUGAAACGGUAUAGAGUAUCCAACCGACUCUAGUCUCAAAGGAAUAGGAAACUAACAAUUGGCAGAAAAAUUUUUAAUUCUGAACCGACUAGGAGUAUCUCUCUCCCAACAUGAUAAAUGUAAAUAACUUGCUGAACUUUAAUAACCGGGACCUUAGGAAAUAUUUCUUUUCCACAUCAACUUCUAAAUUCUUCCACUCACUAAACCAACAAAUAAAAAAACUUGCCACAUAAGUAAUUUAAUUUAAUAAUUAGGCUUGGUUUAAUUAUCUACACAACCAUUUGUCGGAUUUCUUGGGCAAUUACGUAAUCAAUCCAACCUUGCUAACUGUCAGCGUAGAAGGACCUUAGAAAUUAAAUAACAGCUUAUCAUGCACUGCAUAAAAUAGGUUUAUCUGUAGAGCUCGAGCUCGUAAUCAAUUUGUGAGUCACACUGAUCAAUUUGUGGGUCUUAAAGGUUAGAAGUUAAGAGGUUAUUCUGGCGAGAUUUGGAUUUGGGAAUUUUUUUAAUUUGUUUUCUUGCCUCCCAAAGAUCUUAUUCUCCUUCAUUUCUUUGUUUGUUAUUACUUUUUUUUUUAAUGAGUUUUAAGAAGUUAUGGUGAUAGUGGGGGAUGAUGAUAGUGGUGAUGGGAUGAUCAAGAGGUUGGUGUUGAUAGUGUGAGAUUUGGGUAUGGAUUAUGACUUGAUUUCUAUUUCUGUUUGAUGAAUUUUUAGAUAUUAAUUUAUGCUUUUUGAAAGGGAUUUUUGUUUGAGGAAUAUUUGUAGGGUUUAGAAAUUUGACUAUAUUCAGAAGAUGAAAAUAAAGGAAGGGUAUUUUUGGAGGUUUGGUAAAAUUUUGAGGGUUAACAAGUAUAAUCACUCUCUCUUUUUUUAUCAGAUUUAAUUUAAUUUGUAAAUUGUGCAAAAAAUUAGAAGUUGAAGGUAAUGGACUGCUAAAUUUAAAGUUUGGAAUGCAAGUUCCAAUUGCGAAAUUGUUGAGGGGUGCAACUUACAAUUAACCCUAUUUCUAUUUUAUUUUAUAUUAUACAACUUGUUAAAGGGACAACUGUAGUAUUAAGAGAAAUAUUUUAAAGGGAUAAUUUCAUAAACCUCCCCUGAGGUUUUUGAUAAUUUUAUGUGGCUCCCUUAAGGUUUCAAAAUUUACAUCUACCCCCUUACCCAUUUAAAAUGACAAUACUAACCUUAAUAUUUUAAUAAAACUCUCUUGCUUCCAUGUUUAUAAAAAGGAUGGAUUUUAUAAUUUUUAUAAUUUAUGAAAAGAGGUAAAACGGGAUGAACCCCAUGGUUCAGGGGAACAAAGUGCCAUUCAUCCGCUAAUAGAUAAAUCCUUCUCUUUCUUCCUUAAAAGCCAUGUUGAUUCAGUGACAGGGCGUCAACUAAUUAAAAAUAAAUAACUACUCCAGAAAAUACGAACUUGUUUGCAGCAAUGAGUAGGAUUGUCUCCACAAGAUAGAGUUGAUUUAUUUUCUUCCAAAGCAAUGAAUAAAAAGGGGGAUUUUGGAGAAUUAAACUAACUAAUUAACUUAAACACAAAUAAACAUGCAAAGAAAAUUAACUAAGAAUAAACCAAUAAUAAUAGAGUUCUAGCCAAAGGAAUAAUCUUAGGAUUGGUUCCUAUAAUUGAUCACUAAAGCAAAGAUGAAUUCAAAUAUUAGUGAACAAAUAGGUUAUAAUUAUCAUUAAACUUUGGCAAUCAAUCUUUCCUUACUUUAUCGAUAAUCAGAGUAUGGCCACUAACUACUUCUCUAACUAAAAGAUAAUCCUAGGUACAACCAUAGAAUUAAAUCUUUUAUCAGCAUCAAGAAUUAAAAAAGCCUAAUUCGAAUCAACAAACAUGUUGCGAGAGUUCAUUUAAAUUAUAUCAUAUAUUUUCCUGAUAUAGAUCCAAUUAUGCUAGUCAACACAAAUAUUAAAACAGACAAACAAUUACGAAUUUAAUUGUUUCAAUUGGCAGCAGACUAUUGUAAAUAAUUAAAUAUUGGCCACUUAUUUAAUUACACACAAUAAUCAUCAUACAUGUAAUACAGGAAGUAUAAAAAUACCCACGAAUAGAUGAAACAGUAAACUUAAAUUAGAUAUCAUAAUUGUUUGUAGAACCAAGGCUUCGAUUAUCCUCUAACUAGAAAGAAAAUUUAGCCACUUCUUAUGGAGAAAAUGCAGCGGAGAAAACUAGGUUUUUGUCUUGAGAGAAGAAAAAAGAAAACCACCUAACUACGAUGACAAAGUGUAGAGAGAGUUUGGGAAUUAAAUAUCGAUAUUCUCGCCCUAACAAUCUAUAUGAUAAUCUCCUAAAAAUUAUUCCAAUAAAAGGAAUUAUCUUCCAUACUGGAAUAAUCUAUUUUCGUAGAUAAUGAUAUAAUAAUAUCCUUACUAACUAGUUGCCAUCCAAAAAUAAAAAGUUUUCAAGGCUGCAGAGAAAUCAAUCAAUUAUUCUCUUUAAUUGUUGAAAUUAAUCUCAGGUCCCACAACUUCUGAAUUUCCUAGGCUCUUUAAGACGCGCCCAUACUUUAUAGCAAAUAGACUUUUCAGCAACUCUUUUUAGUCCUCUUUCAUCCCAAAUUCUUAUGACAUCACUAAAACACAAAAUAUAAGUAAAAUCCACAAAAUAACACAAUAAUCUACUAAAAUGAAAGGAGAAUCGACACAAACUAUAUCUCGAUUAGGCACACAAUCAUUUAGUGACACAUGAUGAUGUAAGUAAUAUUACAUUAUUAUGAUGAUAUAUGUGGCUCUUGAGUAUGCACCACAUCGUCCAUGAGUGGUUCCGAAAAUCAAGUUUUUAAGAAGGUUUUAAAGCUGGAAAUCUUACUGGGUCAUAGGUUAUUGGUUCAAUCGUUAGAUUAAAUGUUACCAAGUCAUUGUUACUCUGUGACACCAUAUAUAUCAUAAAUAAUUAAUGUGAAAAAUCAUUCAAUACGUCCCUUAUAUUUUAUUAAAUGGUUUUUUUGUUUCUUCACUUUUAAAAUGUUAGUUUUACAUCUAUUACAAAUUCAAGUUAGUAAAAUUUGGUCCCAAUCUAAAUUUUUGACUACUUUUUAGCCUAAGAUCGCCAUGUGACCUAUAUGCAAUUAUUUUUUAUGUAAAAAAAAAUGUCAAAUACCACUUUUGUAGUGAUAAAAAUAAAUAUGGAUCGGGUCAAAUUCCAUUUUUGUUUUAAAAAAUGAAUAUGGAUCGAAUAAUUUAUUUAACUACAAAUGGGAUGUAACAUUGUUUAAUUCUAACAAUUGUUAAGUGGAUAGGAACACGAAUAGUAAUAAAUUUUGGAUUUUGUAAACAAUUUAGAGCUAAAUUAUAAUUUUUUAAAGGUGAAAUGAUAGAAACUUAAAUAUGAGGUAACAUUGAAAUCUAAAAGUAAGUAUGAGGGCUAAAUAGUAAAAUGUCAAAAAGUAUAGUGCGUUAAUCGUUUCCGAUAAUUAUAUGCUAAUGCUGGGCCGCAUUUUUUUUUUUAUUUUAAAGAAAAGCAAGACUCAAAACGGUUUAGUAAAAACAUGUCAACGGUUCGUUGGUCCGGCCAAACGAUCUAGUUGGUUUUUACUAUCUAGACCGAUUUUUUGAUCCAUCUUUAGUUUGAGACUUGACUUAGUUCAGAAAGCUACUCGAUCAACAGUUGAAUCAGCUCACUCGAACAGUCAAAACUGAGUUUUAUACUAUUAGUUUUUAUUUAAAUAUUUUCAAUACCCAUUUAUAAGAUUAUGGCACUUGUAAGUUCUCCAUGAACCGAAAAUAAAAAGAUAUUUGUGUUAUAGUUGAAAUGAUGAGUGAAGAAAUUUACUGAUGCUGUCAAUAAUGUAUCGACGGGAUACUUGAGCAACGAAUAAUACUUUUCUUUGGGUAAACAAUCAACUAUUAUUGAUAAAGCACAUAUUACACAUAUCUGUAAAAGGAUGGGUAGUAUUUGGCACGUCUUCAAUUCGCCACACAGGUAGCUGAACUCAUCUAUAAAAGGGGUCGAUCUGUGGGCAACCAAAUACACACCAAACCAAAAAAUACACACGAAAGCAAGCCUGCAAAAACAACCGAGAGGAGAAAAAAUGGCUCCCUGUUUUAGAGCACUAGUCAUAGCAAUAACAUCGCUGUUGAUGAUAUCUUCAGUGAUCAGGUCUUCCGAUGCUGCUGGAAUUGCCACCUACUGGGGCCAAAACACUGACGAAGGAAGCCUGGAAGACGCAUGCCGGAGAGGUACCUAUGACUACGUGAAUCUUGCCUUUCUGAUAAAUUAUGGCAAUGGCCAGACACCAGAAUUGAACUUAGCUGGGCAUUGUGAGCGAAGCGCUUGCUCCUCGCUUAGUUCUGAGAUAAAAGCUUGCCAGAAACGAGGCAUCCAAGUGCUUCUUUCUCUCGGUGGAGCUCCAAACCUUUCUUCACGCGAUGAUGCUAAGGAAGUCGCGUCCUAUCUCUAUAAUAAUUUCCUUGGCGGUGAAUCACAAAAUCGUCCAUUAGGCGAUGCUGUCUUAGACGGUAUAGACUUUCAUAUCCAAGGUGGAAGUAGGGAUUUCUUGGAUGAUCUCGCCAAGGCGCUCUCAGAAUAUAGAACAACAGAGAGAAGGGUGCACUUAUCUGCAGCACCACAAUGUUUCUAUCCUGACUAUUAUCUUGACGCUGCCAUCAGAACUGGCCUCUUUGAUUAUGUGUGGGUGCAAUUUUACAACAAUCCGCCUUGUCAGUAUAGUAUGGGCAAUGCCAACAACCUCAUCAACAGUUGGAGCUCUCAUUGGGCUUCACAUCCAGGAGUUAACAAACUAUUCCUGGGAUUACCUGCAUCCCCUGAAGCCGCUCCUUCUGGCGGUUACAUUCCACAUCGGAUUCUUAUUCGUGAAGUUCUUCCCCAAAUCCAGGACUAUCCCAACUAUGGAGGCGUCAUGCUUUGGAACGUAUACUAUGACGAGAAUUAUAGUCAGGCAAUCAGGCCUUAUGUUAACCCUGAAACUCUGACUUUUGAUCGCAGGUCCACGAUUAAGUACCCAAGAAAGUCCAUGAUAAAGUCUUUUGUGGAUGAGUAAGUUCCUCUCAUUAUCUUAUGAGAGAUGAAAUAAGUAUAAUAUAAUCCCGGUGGUUUGAGCCAGAGAUAAUGUUAAUAAAUAAGUUCCUCUCAUUAUCCUGUGAGAGAUGAAAUGUAAUCCGGGUUGCUUUUGCAAGAGAUAAAUUGAAUAAAUAAAUAAAACAUGGGUUUUCAAUCCCCAAACUAAGGGCAGUCGCGUUUGAUUUUUUUUAAUUCGUGUUUGUUCUUGAGUAAAAACUAUCACGAACAGUAUCAUUAGUUUUAAUUUCCCCUUACUCUUCAGAAAAAAAAGGGUAUUGAAAAAAAAAAAACAUGCAAAAGGUACUAGAUCAAAAUCUCUCACUCGCUAGACAAAGAAUUUCAAGAUAACAGCCCUUGAUCCAAUCCGCAUUCCAAUGCAAGUUCCUGGUUUUACUUAGUAUGAGGAACCUUGGGCCAUGCGAGAUCAAAUAAAAAAAUAAUAUCAUCAGAUAUUUAUUCUCCAAAAUCAAUAUAUUUAUUCAAGAGCAUUUUACAUUUCAGUACACCUUUACUGUUGAGAAUAUUACUGUUCUGUUAGCUUCUAUGCAAAGUUUGUUUCAUAUGCAAUAACGUACUUAGUAACUAAACUUCCAUCACUUGCAGAUAUUAAUCCAGGAAAAAGAUGAAUAAUUGUUUUCUUUUAUAUGGAUUAAUCUUCUAUACAUUGACAGUGUAUACACUUUCAUCAUUAGAUGCAUGACACAUAAUCCGAAUUUGAAUUUGAAACUCAAAUAUUGUAUAUAUGUCGUAUAUUCAACUGUGAUGGCGUAUAUACCGUCAAUGUAUAUAAGAUUUAUUUUUUAUAUAUAUAUACACAUAUAAGGAAAGCAAUGACGUUCAAAACUUAAGAUCGAUGUACAAUUCAGUUUUGCUUAAAUUCUUAGCUCGAGGCCUGUUCAAAUCUUGUAAAAAGGUACUGGUAAUAAAUGAAAAUCUAAAGUUUGCUCUAAGGUAGGUAAUAUUAUAGCAAUUGGUCCUCUUCUUAAUUUAGUUCUUCCAGUAAAUUUGAUAUAUCGUUUACGAUCAUCCAGCAUUAUGGAUAUUGCUUUCUCUUUGUGAAAAUUUUUAGUUUUGAGCAAAGUCUUUGGUUUUUAGUCAAGUUCUUGCGUUGGACAGCUCUACAUCUUGGAACUGGUGAUUCGUACAAAUAUACAGUAUCUUGGAAAUAUUAGACUUUUUUUUUUAAAAAAAAAAACCUUAUUUUAUUAAUGAAGCAAAAAGGAAUACAUGAAUGCGUGUUCAGGCUGCACCACUCGACCUACAGCUAGGCCUAGAGCUGUUAAACGAACCGAGUUGUUCGGUAGCUCGGUUCGUUUCGACUCGUUCGAAACCUUAAAUGAACCGAGUUCGAACGAAUGUUUUUGUUCGAUUAAUAAUCGAGCGAACACGAGCAUGUUCGCGAGUUUUAACGAACGUUCGCGAACAUGCUAAACGAACGUUCGCGAACACGAGCAUGUUCGCGAGUUUUAACGAACGUUCGCGAACAUGGACAUAAUUAUCAUUUGAUAAAUUUUAGGGUUAAUUUUAUGGCUGGACUUUUAUGUUUGGAGGGCAAAUUACUUUGUUUUAUUUGUUAUUUUUAUGUUAAUGUUAGUUAUAUAGUUAAUGAAUAAUAGAAUUUAGUCACUUAGUGCUUUAAUUGUUUUUGAGAAUAGUUAAUAAUUUGCAUGACAUAUUUAAGGCUUAAAAUAAUUUGGAUUCGAGCAUUUCGAGUAUGUUCGCGAACGGCUCAUUUAUGUUAAAUGAGUCGAACACGAACUCGAAUUCGAACACGAAUUUUGCUUAACGAGCCGAACACGAACACAUGUUUGAAGUUCGAAAAUUAACGAACGAACACGAACGUUGUUCGAACUGCUUAACGAACAGAGCUCAAACAUGAGAUACUCGGUUCGAUUCGGUUCGUUUACAGCUCUAGCUAGGCCCCAAGGACCUCUUAGAAAAUCGAAAACUCCCAAUCCCCAGUCUAUCGACCUGACAUAGGCCCCUCACCGACCUUGGCAAGGACGUGAAGGAGAGCAAGAGACAAAAGUUGCUGGAGCGGCUACCCAGCGAUGCCAACGAAUCCGCCACAGCAUUACCUUCUCGAUGGAUAUGUUGAAAGGACGAUAUAGCUGGCGAGAGUUGCCGAAGAUGACGGAGGAUUGGCAAUAGCGAAACCGGAACGCCCCAUACCCCUGUAGAACGUCGAUCAGGAUCUUUGAGUCGCCCUCCACCACGACUGGGCCAUGGCGGAAUAGGUUACACAAUUCAAGCCCCGUGCACAGUGUGAGGCCCCGAAAAAAAUGAGUUUGAGAACCCGGAAAUUUUAAUUUUCUAGGGUUUAUUUUGUUUAAAACAAAACCCGCAUUUUCUACAUUUUCUUGAUUAGAAAAAAUCCCAGAUAAAGUUUAUGAGCAAAAAUAGUUUUAAAAUGAUUUUUCUAGUAUCGGUUAGUUUUUGAGAAAUUAAAAGCGUAUUUUGGACGUGGGACCCACUAGUGCGAAAAGUUCGGAAAAUUCGGCCAAUUAGGUUAAAUUCCGGAUACUGUGUAAAAUUUAUCGGGUGUUAAGAGAUAAGUAGAGUGUGUGAAAUGAUUGAUGAGAGAGAGAAAAGAAAGGAUAGGAAUGCAUUUAUUGUAGUGCCACAUGUCACCAUGAUAUUGGUUAGGACUUAAGACUACUAUUCAUGGUUUUGACCUUUUGACUUAUGGAUUAAAUAUCUUCAAAAUUCACAAAAAAAUUACCAUUUUUCACCCCUUGAUGGCCGGCCCUCUCUAGCAAGAAGAAAGACAAAACUCUUCAACAUCUUGGCAAAUUCCUAGCUCAAAUCAUCCAAACUACUUACCUAAAUUAGUUUUUACUCCAUAAAAUCCUUCCACUUGGUAUUAGUGAGUGUUUUGGUGAAGCUUUUGGAGAACUUAAGGUGUCCAACAUCUUCCUCUCUCUUGUUUACUUGGUAAGUAGUGAUUGACUAUCCUCUUACACCUAAUGAUGUUGAAUUUAUGCCUAAUGGUGGCUAUUGUGUUAGAAAUUGUGGUUUAUUUCUUGGUUUGAAGUGAUUUGGUUAAGUUUUUAUUUUUUUGAGGAAUUUUCUGGUUUUAUGUGAUCUUGAUGGUGUGGUUGUUUUUGAUGGUUGGUAAUAAGGGGCUAUGGAUCUAGUAGGUGCAUAUGAUAGGAAAUUGCAACUAAUUUUGGGUUUGGAUUGAAUUGUGGAAAGUUAGGGUUUUAUCACCCCUAAUUCUGUCCGGUUUUAGAUCAUAGGGUUAGAGGCCGAAUUGGACUUUGCUCAAAACAUGAAACUUGUAGGUAUUGAUGAGUUUGAAGUGCCUGCAAAAUUUCAGGGCAUUUGGAGUAGUGUAGAGUGAGUUAUGCCGUUUUUACUGUUGCUGUUCUGGGUGAUCAGAAUGUGCGAACUGUGAUUGUAAUCGUCUGUUUUGACUGGAAUUGCUUUGGAUUUGGAUGUUGGUGUCUUCUGAUGAAAUGUAGCUUGAUGCCUUAGCUAUCAUAUGCCUUUGGAAUCAAUGCAUUUGGACCUGUGUAACUGAGUUGGACGAAUUACAGCAUUGUGUGAUUUGGGAACCUGCAAUUACGAUUCUGGUUUGGUAUUCUGCAUUUUUGACCUAGUUGUGCUAGGAUUUGGACUGAGUGACCUUCUACAUUGUUGUAGCCCUGGUUCUUAGCUUCGAAACGGUGGGUCUUGGACCUCCAUCCGAUACUCGUAAUACCUUUGGUGCCAUUACCGCAAAAGGACGUCAAAACUGUUUUCUGGUUUUGAGCAAUUGUGGUUAAUUGCUUUGUGAUUGGGUUUGAUUGUAGGAUGGAAAGGAUGAAUUUAUGGGGAAAUGCUGUCCGAUUUUUAAUAGCGUUGGUUACCUUAAGUUUCAUGUGAAAGGCUUGGACUUGAAUGAUGGAAUUGGCUAUAUUGGACGAGGAUUGUGAGCCGUGGAGGUGAGUGACCUUAAACUACUUGCAACGUUACUUUAAAAUGUUUCUUGCAUCGUUUCUUUGAUUGCAUAUCCUGUGUGCCGGCAUAUAAGUUCUUGACAUGUUUUGGCUCAAAUGAGUACUUGGAAUUCGUGUGCUAGACUCCGACGUCUCCUCCACCGUUUAAUGUUCCUGUAGGGCACCAAUGGGCUCAAUGUUCAAUGUUAAUGUUCAAUGUUAAAUGAUUGUUUGGAGCGUUGGACGUCUAAGUACCAUGAUUUCACUGGCUCAUGAGAGAAGUGAAAGUGCAUUGAUUGUUGAAGCAUGACAUUAUUGAAAUGAACGAUUGUGAAACUGAUUUGAUAACUGAAUUUCUUGGUUACUCGCUGAGCUUCUAGCUCACCCCAAAAUGUUUUAUUCCCCUCCACAGGGCUCAAGGCGAAGGAGUGGCUUGUAGUGUUUAUCAUGGAUUAUCUCAUGUAUGGACUGAAUUUGGAUUUCCUUUUGUGUAAUCGUUCAUAUUGGGAUUGUAUUGAACGUUUAGAAUUGCUUGGAUGUGUAAUAUGCUAGUUUUGGACUUCCUCCUGUAUCAUAAUUGGGAUCAUGGAUCAGAGUGGCGCAGUGGAAGCGUGGACGCUUCGCUUUUGAUAUGUAAAGUUUGGGAACCUUUGAUGUAUAUUUGAUAUAUAUAUCUUGAAAUUCCAUUGAGAAUUGUAGUGAACGACUGAGUCCUGGCGAGAGCUGGGCAGGCGGCCCGCCGAACCCUCUGGUUCGCCUUAGGGGGAGGUGGGGCCGUUACAGUUGGUAUCACAGCUUAGGCUUCAGAUCUCUAUAGUGUAUCCUAGGCUUGAAGUUUAGGAUGCCGGACUGUGGGUUUGGUUUGAAGUAUUAGUGAUUCUUGCGGGAUGUCUUGACUUGAUUAGUACAAGAGGGAAUGACGAGGACGACAUUCUUUUAAGGAGGGGAGAUUGUGACGCCCCGAAAAAAAAUGAGUUUGAGAACCCGGAAAUUUUCUAAUUUUCUAGGGUUUAUUUUGUUUAAAACAAAACCCGCCUUUUCUACAUUUUCUUGAUUAGAAAAAAUCCCAGAUAAAGUUUAUGAGCAAAAAUAGUUUUAAAAUAAUUUUUCUAGUAUCGGUUAGUUUUUGAGAAAUUAAAAGCGUAUUUUGGACGUGGGACCCACUAGUGCGAAAAGUUCAGAAAAUUCGGCCAAUUAGGUUAAAUUCCGGAUACUAUGUAAAAUUUAUCGGGUGUUAAGAGAUAAGUAGAGUGUGUGAAAUGAUUGAUGAGAGAGAGAAAAGAAAGGAUAGGAAUGCAUUUAUUGUAGUGCCACAUGUCACCAUGAUAUUGGUUAGGACUUAAGACUACUAUUCAUGGUUUUGACCUUUUGACUUAUGGAUUAAAUGUCUUCAAAAUUCACAAAAAAUUACCAUUUUUCACCCCUUGAUGGCCGGCCCUCUCUAGCAAGAAGAAAGACAAAACUCUUCAACAUCUUGGCAAAUUCCUAGCUCAAAUCAUCCAAACUACUUACCUAAAUUAGUUUUUACUCCAUAAAAUCCUUCCACUUGGUGUUAGUGAGUGUUUUGGUGAAGCUUUUGGAGAACUUAAGGUGUCCAACAUCUUCCUCUCUCUUGUUUACUUGGUAAGUAGUGAUUGACUAUCCUCUUACACCUAAUGAUGUUGAAUUUAUGCCUAAUGGUGGCUAUUGUGUUAGAAAUUGUGGUUUAUUUCUUGGUUUGAAGUGAUUUGGUUAAGUUUUUAUUUUUUUGAGGAAUUUUCUGGUUUUAUGUGAUCUUGAUGGUGUGGUUGUUUUUGAUGGUUGGUAAUAAGGGGCUAUGGAUCUAGUAGGUGCAUAUGAUAGGAAAUUGCAACUAAUUUUGGGUUUGGAUUGAAUUGUGGAAAGUUAGGGUUUUAUCACCCCUAAUUCUGUCCGGUUUUAGAUCAUAGGGUUAGAGGCCGAAUUGGACUUUGUUCAAAACAUGAAACUUGUAGGUAUUGAUGAGUUUGAAGUGCCUGCAAAAUUUCAGGGCAUUUGGAGUAGUGUAGAGUGAGUUAUGCCGUUUUUACUGUUGCUGUUCUGGGUGAUCAGAAUGUGCGAACUGUGAUUGUAAUCGUCUGUUUUGACUGGAAUUGCUUUGGAUUUGGAUGUUGGUGUCUUCUGAUGAAAUGUAGCUUGAUGCCUUAGCUAUCAUAUGCCUUUGGAAUCAAUGCAUUUGGACCUGUGUAGACUGAGUUGGACGAAUUACAGCAUUGUGUGAUUUGGGAACCUGCAAUUACGAUUCUGGUUUGGUAUUCUGCAUUUUUGACCUAGUUGUGCUAGGAUUUGGACUGAGUGACCUUCUACAUUGUUGUAGCCCUGGUUCUUAGCUUCGAAACGGUGGGUCUUGGACCUCCAUCCGAUACUCGUAAUACCUUUGGUGCCAUUACCGCAAAAGGACGUCAAAACUGUUUUCUGGUUUUGAGCAAUUGUGGUUAAUUGCUUUGUGAUUGGGUUUGAUUGUAGGAUGGAAAGGAUGAAUUUAUGGGGAAAUGCUGUCCGAUUUUUAAUAGCGUUGGUUACCUUAAGUUUCAUGUGAAAGGCUUGGACUUGAAUGAUGGAAUUGGCUAUAUUGGACGAGGAUUGUGAGCCGUGGAGGUGAGUGACCUUAAACUACUUGCAACGUUACUUUAAAAUGUUUCUUGCAUCGUUUCUUUGAUUGCAUAUCCUGUGUGCCGGCAUAUAAGUUCUUGACAUGUUUUGGCUCAAAUGAGUACUUGGAAUUCGUGUGCUAGACUCCGACGUCUCCUCCACCGUUUAAUGUUCCUGUAGGGCACCAAUGGGCUCAAUGUUCAAUGUUAAUGUUCAAUGUUAAAUGAUUGUUUGGAGCGUUGGACGUCUAAGUACCAUGAUUUCACUGGCUCAUGAGAGAAGUGAAAGUGCAUUGAUUGUUGAAGCAUGACAUUAUUGAAAUGAACGAUUGUGAAACUGAUUUGAUAACUGAAUUUCUUGGUUACUCGCUGAGCUUCUAGCUCACCCCAAAAUGUUUUAUUCCCCUCCACAGGGCUCAAGGCGAAGGAGUGGCUUGUAGUGUUUAUCAUGGAUUAUCUCAUGUAUGGACUGAAUUUGGAUUUCCUUUUGUGUAAUCGUUCAUAUUGGGAUUGUAUUGAACGUUUAGAAUUGCUUGGAUGUGUAAUAGGCUAGUUUUGGACUUCCUCCUGUAUCAUAAUUGGGAUCAUGGAUCAGAGUGGCGCAGUGGAAGCGUGGACGCUUCGCUUUUGAUAUGUAAAGUUUGGGAACCUUUGAUGUAUAUUUGAUAUAUAUAUCUUGAAAUUCCAUUGAGGAUUGUAGUGAACGACUGAGUCCUGGCGAGAGCUGGGCAGGCGGCCCGCCGAACCCUCUGGUUCGCCUUAGGGGGAGGUGGGGCCGUUACACACAGUGCCCUAGCCUCAGCUUGCAAUGACGUCACAUUUCUAUACAGCUCCGAAUAUGCAAAAAUCACCCGACCCUUAGAAUCCCUCGGUACUCCCCCUCCUCCGCCUGUGAAUGGGUGAUGACAGACCCAUCAAAAUUGAGCUUCACCACCGCUGCCGUUGGGUGGACCCACCGCACAUACCGCACAUACCGCACCUGGACAGGGAGACGGACUUCACCAAGGCGUCGGAUCACCGCCUGCCAGCUACACCCCCGCACCUGACAUCGAAGGAAUGGAAACUGAGAUCCAAGUAAGUCCCUAAAGUCACCCAAUAUUCUAUUCGAGAUGAUCUCCGCUGAAAGGACCUGUCCAUCGUAAACAAACCCACAUCGCGCCUUCCACAAAUGCCAUAAAAUAAUUGCUGGCCCAACGUGCAAUACCCAUCGCAAGAUCCAAUGAUGCGACUGUGCAAACCACCAGGACAUACACCGAUCACGGAUCGAUCUGCCGAGAGAAGAGACUCCAAAUGGCGAUCCAAAGAAACCCCAGAUUGCCGUGGGAAUGUCCCCCAUGGAAAAAAUAUGUUGCAUGGUCUCAAGUUGCGGCUCGCUACAACAGAAUUAUAUCUUGGAAAUAUUAGACAUAAAGAGCAGGAUCUUUAGCAUGAUUUGUAAACUAUAAUUAAGAGAUAAAUUCUAAAUUGGCAUACCUUGUGACAUUGAAGACAUUUUGGAGAAGAAUUCUACAGCUCUGUAUCACCAAGCCUUUCAAUCUCCAAGGUUGUAAUGAUACGAACUCGACCCAACAAGAACCUGUCUUGAAGAACCAAAUUGAUCAGGCAGCGGAAGGAUCUAUCUUGAUUAGGUUAUGGAACAAUAACUACCUUGCUAGAUUUAAAGAGAACUCGUCUCUAGAAACCUAGUGGAUUAGUUAUUGACUUGAAAAAAACAAGAUGAUGUGAUCAUCUUGUCUUGAACACCACAAGUAUCCAAGCUAAUACUUGAUACAGUUCAAGAAGAAACUCAAGUUCCAUCAAGGAACUCCAUAAAAGGAGACAACUCUCUUUUUAUUAAUUCAUCUUCAACAUCAUAUUUUUUGAAUAGUUAAAUUAAGUUGGCUAUUUAUAACCUUACAAGACUCAAAACCCUAAUCUAAAUUGAAAACAAUACAAGUUUCCUUAUUUGACUUGACUUCUAAACUUGACACAACUUCCUAAAUAAAUUUGGAAGCAAUUUAACUACUUUCCUAAAACUCUAAUUCAACUAGAAUAGGAAACUAGCUAACUCAAAUUGGCUUAACUAUGGUCAACAUGACCUUAGCCUUUAUUCCCUAAUUCAAACAACUUACUUAACUCUCAAAUUAACUCUAAUUAACAACUAACAUUGCUGAAAACUCAAUUAAAUAAAUGAUAACAAGAAAUAAGCAUGACACGGGGUUGGAUCUUCAAUGAUUCUCGAGCCCGAUUGCACCAUCAACCAUCAAAUGAAUUUUCCUUGAAUUUGAAGGGAAUCCGAAUCUUCAUGUUCUCAUCAUGUAAACUAUCGCUUUAUGCUAUCCAGCCUUCCCUCACCUAACUCCCUUUUUUGUUAUUUUAGUGAUGGGUAAAAAUAACGUAUGUCAGAGUGGUGAGAAGGACCAAGAGCCCUAGAACAUUUAUAGAGUCACAAUCCCUCCCAUCAUGGGAUAAUGAUAAACUCUAAUUUUCUUAUCGUACUUUAUUUGUUAACCAUAAUGAUAAGAUACAGUUUAAAAUUACUGUAAUUAUCAGAUAAAGUACCACAAUAAAUAUCAUAUAAUAUGUUCACAUACAAUGAAUAUGGGACUCCCUACUUCCUCCAAUCAUCUAUUCUCAUUAGAGCUCUGUAAUUGGUUAUUCAUAUUUAUUCAUAUGGUUAUUCAUCCUUCUAAUUAACGGGAGUUAUCUUAAUAAUAUUAUACGUGGUCAUGUAGGCCACAUAAAUAUUCUAAUAGGAAAAUCUUCUUAAUUUGUAUAGUAUCUUGCACAAUCCAACUUGGAAAGUCGUACUACUAAUUUGGGAAGCAAAAGAAACGGAGGAUCGCGCCUAAUCUUUGGCCAUUUUGUUCAAUAUUUCUCCCAUUUUACAUUAACCCCUAGUUUGGUAUGUGAAAAUGUCCAGAAUAAAAAAAAUCUUUCCACUUGGAAUACCUUUUCACCAUGAUGGUAGGGAGAAAAAUUUAUCAUUUUACUGUCUAGUAUAUAAGGCAAAAUAGAAUGUUCAUUCAUUUUUAAGUGUUUGAAAUAAUCAAUAUUAAAAUACCAAAAUACAUUACAGUCGAUACAAAUUUGAUUUAAUUACCCUAAAUUAGUUUACGGGACACAACAUGCUUUAUUACUUUUGUCUUGUUGGUUCUAUUGUGUUAUUUGUUUGUUUACAUGGAAUUUUGACAUUUUUUGUAUUCGAAAUAAUUGAUAAUUGAUAUUAAAAUAGUUCAAUUGUAAUAAUUGAUUCAUUCUAGAAUAUAGACCUUUACAUUCAACUGUUGCAUCUUCUGGCCAUAUAAUUAAUAUAAAUUAUAUGAAUCUAAACAAAUAUAAUAUAAUUUCGAUUCUUAUUAAAAUUUGACACUCCUAAGAAGUUGUAUGAAUUAUCAAAAAAUUGAACAAAGUACUUAUAUUGCUUGUACGCAAAAUAUUUAAGAUUGACGAACAAAACGAUGGCCUGCUGCCUACAUUCUUUCACUUUCUCACUCUCUAUCUCUUCCUCUAGAGAGAGAAAGAGAAAAAAAUGGUGGUACAGAACGGACUCUCUCAAUUUUUUCUUUUGCCUCCCUGAUUUUCUUUUUCCAAGGUUUCUUGCCCUUACUUUCUUCUACCCAACUAAUUGCCCAAUUCUUGUUGGGGCUGAACCUAUCUAUCUAUGUGUGAUUCAAGAAAGAAAUAAAACUAAAACUGCUGCUGCGCGCCUUAAUUGGUCCUCCGUCGUCUUUGCCACUGAACGGAUUCCUUCAUUUUUUUUUUAGGUGUGGCUAGAUAUUGAAAGGGUUGAAGAAAAUUUAAGAUUGAAUUUGAGUCUUUGCACUUGCAAUUAAUUUGUAGGUGUUCUUGGUUUCUUACAGUUGAUGACGGAUUAUUACUGACGAGUUCCAUGGGAACUAUCUUCAGUUACAAAUAGAAAUAAACUGGAAAUUAUUUCAUAGAAUGGUACCUAAGAUAAUGAUUGUGAAAUCAGUAUUCAUCGCAAGCAGAUUGUCAUAAUUAAAGAUGUAAAGAUAUAUAAGACUGUAGCCAGUUUGUGAUCGCUAUAAAAAUAGAAAAUAAUAUAAUAUAUCAUUUGUCCAAACAUAAUAAUUCCAACUUCACACAAGUUAAACGAAUUCAUUUAGGAUUAAGUCGUUAAUGCCUUUGAGAAAAAAAGAAUAACUUAGUUUAGUUAGAUAAAAUAUUUUUAUAUUUAUUAAAUUAUUUUUAAUUCAUAAACGGUGAUCAAGUCAACCCGUUGGUGACUUGAAUUCGACCUUUUUUUUUUCAGGUUCAUCGGGUUCGACCCAAUUCUAACUCAAACCCAUUAAUUUCAACCCAAACCCAUUAAUUUCAUGUUAGAUUCAUAUUAUAUUUUCAGGUCGUAUCGAAAAUUGCCUCCUCUAGAUUUAACUUACCAAAAAAGAAAAAGUAAAUUUCAGCUGCAAAGCUUUGAGUAAUUUUGAAGUGGGAAAAUCAUUUGAAAAGCUCUUCACAUUUCACUAAAUGAAUUUUUUUUUUGUCUUUCACUUUUAAAAUAAUAAAUUUACGUUUCUUAAAAAAUCAAAUCUGUAAAAUUAAGUUCAACCUAGGUUUUCGACUACUUUUUACACUGAAUUUAUCAUGUAACCCAAAUAUGAUCAUUUUUUCGGAACAGAAAGGUUAAAUCUCAUUUGUAGUCGAACAAAUGGCUUGAUCCAAAAGAGUAAGAUCUGACCUAAAUCAUAUUUAUUUUUUCCUGAAAAGUGGGAUCUGAUUUAAUUCAUAUUCAUUUUUAUCCUAAAAAAAUGAAAUUUGACUUUUUUAUACAUAAAAAAUGAUUGCAUGUGAACCACAUGGUGAUUUCAAGCUAAUGUUUUUGGUAAAAAACUUAGAUUCGAACAAAAUUUUGUUAACUUGAAUUUGUAAGGGACAUAAAGCUAAUAUUUUAAAAAUGAAGAACCAAAAAAUUUAUUUAACAAAAUAUAGGAGACGUUUUGAAAGAUUUUCACUUUUGAAGUUCAGUCUUUUGAAUACUGCCUAUCCUUUGAUUUCCUAUUGUACUGCUUUUCAGUGAUUUAUUGAGAGCUCCUAUUUGGAAAUGGUCAAACCUAACAACGGAUCUCAGCGUUAUUUGAAACCAUGAAAACUGCAAAGACAAGUUGGUCAUUAAAAAAUCUACUACAGCCAACGACAUUAGCCUUAUUUGAAUUGCAAGUUUUCACAAACAAAUUUUGAAAUAUUUUUUAGUCACAUAUUUAUCUUAUAGAUGUUAUAUUAAUUAUUAUAAUAUAUUUUUCUAUGAAACUCUAUGAAAUUAUAUACGUUCUAUUAUCUUAUAUACGUCAUGUCACUAUAUAGUAUAUUUUUCUAAGAAACUCUGUAAACUUACAAUUCAAACUGUAACUUUUCAUUUUAGUGCGUCCUUUCUAAGUGAUUUUAGUGCGUCCACUUCAAUUCAUGCAUGAUAGUCCAGAAUUCUGUAGAAGGACAAUAAUUUAGGAAGGACUGGAAAAUUCAAUGGAAACAAGACAUGUCGCAUUCGGAAGUGCGAUAAUGUAAUCAACCUCACUAUUAAAAGAAGAACAAGAUUGUAUAAAUCCAUACAUCAAAUCCGUAUUCAAUAGCUUUAGUCGAAAUUCGUGCUCCCCAAGAAAGUACAAGUGAACUUCUUAUUCAUCAAAUGUGCAUAAACAAUAUGAUGUGGCCUAGAGAAAAGUUCAAGCUAAGAUGCUCAAGUAUAAGAUAAAAUUGAGUGAAGGGAGAAGGUUGAUUUAGACCUAUUCAUCAUCAAUUUUGAUUUACAUAUUCCAAUCUGUUGCCACAAAAAAAAAUCAAGCACAGGGAAAAUUAUUUUAAUAUAUAUAAAAAUAUGUGAAAAGAGGAAGAGAAUAAAUACACAAUAUAACUUAAAUAAUUUUAUAAACUAAACUCAACAUUAAUACUCACAAAUAACAAUUUGAGAAGCUUUCUCUCAAUGUCCUUCAAGAAAACAAUGAGAUGGUACUACUCAAUUUAUAGAGUAUCCAACGGACUAUAGUUACAAAGGAAUACGACAAUGGGCAAAUAUAUAUAUAUAUAUAUAUAUAUAUAUAUAUAUAUAUAUAUUGCAAUUCUGAACAGGCGAGGAGUAUCCCUCUCCCAAAAUGAUAAAUGUAACUUGCUAAACUUGAAUGACCAGACAUUAGGAAAUAUUUCUUUGCCGCAUCAACUUCUAAAUUCUUCAACUCACUAGACUAACCAAAAAAAAAAAAGAGUUGCCACAUAACUAAUUUAAUUUAAUAAUUAGUCUUGGUUUAAUUACCUGCUGGACUUGGAUUUUAUCUCGGGAUAAAACUCAAAUCCAACAAAAUAACGGUUGGUGGGAUAAAACUCAAAUCUAACAUUGUCUACACAACCAUUAAUCAUCUUUCUUGGGCAAUUACAUAAUCAAUCCAAUCUUGCUAAUUGUCAGCCUUGAAGGACAACGCUUGGAAAUUAAUUAACAGCUUAUCAUAUGCACUACAAAAUACAGAAGUUUAAUCCAUAGGUUUAUUUGUAGACCAUGUAAUCAAUUGGUGAGCCACACUCACCAAUUGAUUCAGUGAUGUAUGUUUAUAUUACUAGCAUUAGAUUAUAAAGAAAAUUGAUGUGGCUAUAGAGUUCAAAAAUAUCUUUCAAACCCGUUUAGAUUAGGUUAGGAUACGCCAAGAACGAGAUAUGGGAGGAUAACAGUUGCAUGUUUUUAAUUGUCGGCUGUCUAUUCUGUAUCGACGUGGAGACUUGGAGCCGCGAGCUUAGAAAUUAGUGACUUUCAUAACUUAGGACAGGUUAGGUAAGUACAAUAAUUGCCCCAUCCAUUAUUACGCACUCAAAGGGACCCAUUUCACAUUAUCCUGCUCGGGAUGUUUGCAUUUAAUUUGCUGGGCAUUUAUCUGAAAGGAAUAUUCUUUUAGAUGCGUUACAUGCCAAACGAUAGCAAUAAUUAGAACUGUACAAUUUGUAUGAAGAGUUGGAGUCAGUCCCAUUCGCUCUUGAGCUGCUGUGUUUCACAUUUCUAUGUUGCACUACUAUUUUAUGACUCGUCGAGAGAGACAUUCUAUUGUGUCCGGAAAAAAAAAAGAAUUGGAUUUUUAUUCAUUAUUGCAUCGGAUAUGUCAUUGGUGGAGUCAGAACCUUGUGAUAAGGGUGCAAUGACCAAUUUCAGUGUAAAUCAUACUUUUAGGCUUAGUUUGGGAGUUUAGGAUAGAAAAGAAAGGAAGGGAAAACUCAAGUUAUGAGAGAAGAGAAGAGAAGAAGGGAUUGUUAUAUUGUUUGGGAGCGUUGAAAAUUAGUGGAAUGAUUUUGGAUAUGAAAAUCAUUAAAUAUCUGUUUAAUACCUUUUUAAGGACAAAUAGGUAUUUUAAAAAAAUUGAUAAGCUUCUGAUGCGACUGCCGAGAGCGCGUUCCGAGCUGAGCUGCGCUAGGCUGAACGAACUAAGGAUGACUGAACUGGUACUAGCGGGGUGAGCGAGCUGACCUGCAAGAAAGACCGGGGCUGGUUCCUCGGUGUAGCUCUGACGGUCAAGUCAGUACGAGUUUAAGAGUAGGGUAACAACGUAGAUAUUGUUGAUGGCGUACCUUGCUUUGUCUUGUGGUGGUGUAUUUAUAAGAUCCCGAGUAGUAGUUUCCCUAUAGGAUUAGAAGUCCGACUAGAAAGGGAGUCUUUCUAGGGUUUCGUCUGCUAAUUUCGAAAGGUUCGGGGGCUGCGACCCACCAGGCCCAUCCAAUUGGGAGGCGGCGCCCAUGCGCGAACUGUCCUCCCUCCUGCCCGAGCUGUUUGGCCGAACUGCCAGGUCACAAUGUCCGAACUGACACGUGGCUCCUGCGGAUUGGCCCCACUACACUAGCCCCCCUUUGAGUCUAUAGUCAUCGAAAGAUCGCAUGAAUCAGGACCGAAUUUCGAGGUGACGGGUCAGUUCGGUGUGGGACCCAUAAUCCCACGAUUGCUGCCUUUGCUCGAGUAACCGUCACUUCAAGCGUUACGUCCCUUCAUAAUGACGGUUACCAGCCCAAUCGUCGCGCAAUACAGCGGUCUUUCGAUAAAUAAAUUUUAAUUUUAAUUUGGGACGCUUGACAGGUGCUGAACCUGUGCAAUAAUAAUAAUAAAUAAACCUAACUACCACCAACGCAGUCAAUAACCAAUUCUAGGUACUGGAACAGAGACUCUAGGUGUGCAAUGGGUUACUUGAUUCACCCUGUUCCCAAAGAGUUUGCUUAAUCCGAUAUACCAGAAUUAAUUAGUUGACAAAAUUUACUAACUAGUAGACAGUGGCAAGCAGGGUCGUCUCCUCAGGGAUUGGAGAUAUUUGUCUCUUUGAAGUUCCAAUUAGUAAAAAUGGGGGUUUUAUCGGAAUAAAACUAAAAAUAUUUAAGCAAUUCAACUAAAAAUAAAUAAUUAACUAGCACGAAUGUAGACAGGAAUUAAAUCAAGAAUAGAUAAAUUCUAACCAAGAAUACAACUACUCAGACACAGUCCAUUCAUCCAAUCAUUGAUGCAAGAGAUGUUCACUUAAUUUAUUAAUAGAUUAGUUAUAGUCGCCGACGAGCUCUGACGACCAAUUUUUCCUUAAUUUAUUGAUAACCAAGGUACGACAAUUGAUUACUUCUAACCAGAAAAUACUCCUAGGUAGGACCAUAGGAAUUAAUUUCUCAAUUGCAUUAAGAAUUAGAAAAACCUAACUCCAAUCAAUAACACGCUACGAGGGUUAUUCAAAUCAGAUUGCACGUCCCCCUAGUGUGUAAAAACGCUAGUUGCCACUGAUAUUAAUCGAUUAAAUAAUUACGGAUUUAAUUGACUAAUUUGGCAGGAGAUUAAUAAGUCGCAUUGAACAUUGGGCCCUUGACAUUUAAUUAACUAAAUAAUCCCAUAGAAAUUCAAACAGACAACGUGCAAAUAUUAACAAAUUAAGAAACACAUGAAAAUUAAUUCGAUCUCACAGAUAUUCGGGACUGCGUCGUCGCGUUGAUUCUUGACUAGAUGAAAAGCUUAAUCACACCGCAUAAGUAAAUCUCCACGCAAAUUAAUUGAUUCACAAGCCAUCACAUUUGUCACUAGAUAAUCAAGAAGUAAACGAUGUUUCUCCAGUCGGGACUUUUGUCGAACAAGAGUCACGCAUGAAAAGGAAAAGAAAGAAAACUAAACUGUCUCUAAACAAUGACUAAUGCUCCCUCCGUCGUUCUUGCCGCAUUGAGAGAAAAGGUACAAAAAGAAAGCUCUGCCGAAUUCCUGGUAUUUCGUUUCCUCUUGGUAGGAGGACUCCUAGUCAGCAACUCUUCAUCAACAAAAGGAAAAGGGAGUCGUUGCUUAGUACCCUGUGGGCCAGAUUCGUGAAGCUUUUUGAAGUCUCCCACGUGUGGAGCAAUUUUCUCCAACAGGUCCCCCUUUUUAGCACUUUUCAGUUCCACUUCCUGUAGAUGGUCCAAAUACCAAAUAUAAGUAUAUAUUAACAAUUUAAAACAAUAUUUGGUAAGGACAAAAGGGAAAAUUAACAAUAAAAUUACUAACAAUUAACACCCUAUCAAUUCCCCCCAUACCUAAAUCAUGUUUGCCUUCAAGUAUGAGAACAACUAAACCCAACAAUGGUCAACUCUCACGUCAUCUAUUUUCAAGCUGUGUUUAUACCAAAAUCAAGGUUCAGUGGCCAAGUGUCAAGACACAAUCCUCUCGGUUAGCUCCUGAAAUCACAGACUCGUCUAAUUCAUGGCUAACUCAUCUAGAAAAUCAAAAUAUUAAACUAGCAAUAGUCAGGAAUUGGUCCAACUGGCGACCAAAAUCUCAACAUUGAAGAACAAGGAUCGGCAGGCCAACAUGAUCAUAAGCUUACAUAUUUUUCACAUCUGUUCUUUUUCUUUCUUCCUUUUUUUUCUUUUUCUUUUUUUUUCUUUGUUUUUCUUCUUUUUUGAACGAAUAAAUGCUUAGUCCCAAGCCAUUCAAGUCUUUUGACAUGAAUUCUAACAUUUUUAGAUGAAAGAGUUCAGUUACUCAACUUUUCACCGCUUCAAGACCACCUACUCAUAGAUAUCGCCACUGUUUUGACGCGAGAGUCGACACUUGUGGUGACGACUCCCGGUUACUGGGUGACGACACUAGCGAAGUAUAGCCAUAUGUUAUUCACAACAAAACACCAAAAUAUCAGACAAUUAAAGAACAUGGCCCACGUCAUCUCCUAAACAUGGAGAACUAAGGUCAACAGGGGACCAAUCCAUACAACAGUUGCCAGCAAAAUAUUUAUAUUGCCUAAACAAGUUAACCACAAUUCGCACAAAGUUAUUAAACUCACAGUAUUCACCAAGACAAUAUGCUCUUACUUGCCACCGAAGCUAAAUUUAUAGAAUAAAACACAUCUAGCAAUAGAAGAGUGAGUUGCCAAUCAAUUGUUGAUCACCAAGAUAAGCAGUACCAAAAACAAAAAAUAAAGAGACACCAGUUGAACCCCCCCACAACCGAAUGGUACAUUGCCCUCAAUGUAACAAAUAAACAGCAAAAACAAGAAGAAAGGCAACGAAACUUCCCUGAAGUCGGGGUCACAGCGGUGGGUGAGGCGGAAAUGGUGCUUGAUGAAGCGGCAGCGAGUGCAAGAGGCGGUGGCGGCGCUUGGCAGUCGUGCGCGAGGAGGUGGCAAAGGGAAAAAGCAGCGGCGAUAAAGGAGGGUUUCGGCCGAAAUAGAAAAGGGAGAAGGAGAAGCAGGGCAAAAGAGGAAGAAAAGGGAAAGAAAGAAAGAAAAGAAAAAAAGAAAGAAAAAAAGAAAAAUAGUUUUUUGGGGUUUUCUCUCUUUUUUUUUUAAGUCAAAAUUUAAAAUUUGGUAUUUGAAAAUCGAAAUUCUGAGUUGAACGGGAAAUAUUUUUAAUUUUCAAUUUUUUAAUUUUUAAUUUUAAUUUUUUAAUUUUAAUUUUUUUUUAGGAUCUUGGGUCGUCAAAUAUGACGUGGGCACGCCAAAAUUAUAAAACGUCCAUUGACCUUGGGAGUCACUUUUUGCAACUUAACGCGUGCCCUCCUCGCGUAGGCACGCCAAGAUUCCAUUUCCUGCUGACGUCGCGAGAUGUUGAGAUUUUACCAACAUGGCGUGGGCACGCCAAGAUUGAUAAACGUCCACUGACCUUGGGAGUCACUUUUUGCGUGCCCUCCUCGCGUGGGCACGCCAAGAUUCCCUGUCCUGGUCACAGUGGGAAAAAAUAUGAAAAUUGACUAGUAGCCAAAUGAGAAACGACAAAUCGAAAGAAUUAAACAACAAAACAAAAAAAAAUAACAAAACAAAUAUUUGGAUUGCCUCCCAAAAAGCGCCUUUCUUUAACGCCUUUGGCUAGACGUUAAACAUCACUUCAAUUUGGAUGUAAUUCAAUUUUCGUUGUAAUUUGUGGCCUUCCUCCGGGAUCCAAAUAGCCAUUGAGUGUAACUUUUUUCCUUAAUUUUUUACUCAUUUUCACCUCAUGAAUUGCUUUCAUCCCAUGAUACUUGUUCGCAGCAACUUUAAAUUUACCCCUACAAGUAAAUUCAGAAAAUUCUUGCACAGAGGGAUUAGUAGCAUGCAUAGCGAACACAGAGUGAGAGUUUAUAGGAUGUUUCAUUGUAUCAAAAAUAUUAAAAUGGACUAUUUCUCCAUCAAAUUUCAUUGUAAGAGUACCCUUACUAACAUCAAUCUUAGUUUCGGCAGUACUCAAGAAUGACCUUCCUAAUAUAAUGGGUGAUGGAUUUGGGGCACUUUCAUCAUCCAUGUAAAGCAUAUAAAAAUCAGCAAGAAAAAUUAAUCCAUCUACUUGCACUAAAACAUCCUCAACUACCCCAUCCGGGUAAGCAAAUGUACGAUCAGCCAAUUGAAUUAUUAUCCCUAUUUCUUUCAAAGGUCCUAAAUUUAGAGAAUCAUAGAUUGAUUUAGGCAUUACAUUAAUAGAAGCUCCUAAAUCUAGCAUGGCAUUUUUUAUAUUAGAAUGUCCAAUCUUACAGGGGAUAGUAAACAUACCUGGAUCCCCAUAUUUAGGUGGUAGUUUCCUUUGUAGAAACGCUGAAACGUUCUCACCUACCACAAUAUGCUCAUCCCCCCUCAUCUUCUUCUUGUUGAUACACAAGUUUUUCAAGCAUUUAGCAUAUUUUGGCACUUGCUUGAUCGCGUUCAACAAAGGGAUAUUGAUUGCCACCUUUUGAAACACUUCUAGAAUCUCAUUUUCCUUAUCUUGCUUCUUCGAUUUCUCCAACCUGCUAGGAAAAAGCGGUGGGUUAGUUUUAACUAUAAUGAAUGGGUCCAGGAGUACCUUUGGAUCCUUGUUGCUUCUGCCCUGCUCUUCAAACUCUUUCUCAAUUCGUUCCUCAUCCUUGUCCUUAGGAAUCACGAGCUCGGGUCCUUGGAUUUGCUUUCCACUCCUCAAGGUCAUUGCGCUCACAUUCUUCAAGUUCAGUUCAGGUUGAGACGGCAAUUUUCCAUAAGUUUGAGAUUCCAGGUAGUUGAUUGCUAUUGCCAUCUGACUCAUCUGACUCAUCUGACUCUACAUUACUUGCACCUGUCCCAGUUGAUUCCUCAUAUUUUAUAGGUCAGAAUCCGUCUUUUACUGAUUAGCAAUUAAUUGCUUCAUCAUCUCUUCCAUAGACGGGCUUGAGUUUGAAGGGGGUGGUGGCAGGCGAGAUUGAUACUGUUGUUAGUACCCUUGUUAUCUAUUUGGUGCAAAAUUCGACUGCCUAUUUCCUCCAUAACUAAAGUUAGGAUGAUCUCUCCAACCCGAAUUGUACGUAUUGGAGUAUGGGUCGUAUGGCUGUCUUGGCGCGGGCGCGUGACCAGCCAUGUUCACUUGUUCCUCACUUUCUUCCUGAACCAAUGGACACAUCUCUGUAGAGUGACCCAAGGUAGCGCAUAUCCCACAUACCUUGGCUUGUGAGGCACUUUCCACAGCUAGUUAUCGCACGAAAGACGUCAAUUCAGAGAUUUGUUGUUGGAUGGAGGAUGUUUCUACCUCAUUCAUCGUACGCGUCGGGGUGUCCUCUCUUGAACUGAACUGCUGUGAAUUCUCAGCCAUCCCUUCAAUCAACUCCUAUGCUUCUCGAGGAGUCUUGUUCACCAAUGCUCCUCCACUCGCAGCAUCGAUUAUACUUCUGUUCCUGAAGAGUAAUCCCUCAGAGAAAUAUUGGAUGAGCAGUUGCUCACUUAUCUGAUGCUGAGGGCAUUUGAUGCACAACUUUUUAAACCUCUCCCAGUACUCAUAGAGGGACUCGUCUGGGUGUUGUUUGAUACCGCAUAUCUCCUUCCUCAGACUUGCAGCUCGAGACGCAGGAAAAUAUUUGUCCAAGAAUUUUUUCUUCAAUUGGUCCCACGUGGUAAUAUUACCUGGUGGUAGGUAGUACAACCAGUCUUUUGCAGAGUCCUUCAAGGAGAAGGGGAAGACCCUCAUUUUUAUCUGCUCUUCUGUGAUUCCCGGGGGUUUCAUACUGUUACAAACGACGUCGAAUUCUUGCAAGUGCUUAUAGGGCUCCUCUCCUGGUAGACCAUGGAAAGAUGGCAAGAGGUGAAUUAGAUCAGAUUUUAGUUCAAAGGGAGUGUUAUCAUUCAAACUUGGGAAAGUAAUGCAUAAAGGUUGCUGAUUUAAAUUAGGAGCAGCGAACUCCCUUAAUGUUCGUGCAUUAGUCAUAGUGACUUUCUCUUGAUCCGAGUCACUCGAAGUGUCACCAAACGAAUCUGUUGGUUCAACUUCUAGCUCAGGUCUCUGAAAUGUAUCACUGAAGUGCUCUUCUCUGAGUUGUCUGGUCUCUUUCCUUGUUCUACGCACAGUCUUCUCUACCUCGGGGUCGAAAAUUAAUUCACCUGUACAAGAAGAACGAGGCAUACACUUGAAAAGAAUUAAAAAUUAGAAAAAAAUGAACUUAAAAAGAAGCAAAUAACUGACGCCAAUCCCCAGUAACGGCACCAAAAAUUGACAGGUGCCAAACCUGUUCAAUAAUAAAAUAAAUAAACUAACUACCAUUAACGCAGUCAAUAAUCAAUUCUAGAUACUGGAGCAGGGACUCUAGGUGUGCAAUGGAUUACUUGAUUCCUGUUCCCGAAGAGUUUGCUUAAUCCGAUAUACCAGAAUUAAUUAGUUGACAAAAUUUAUUAACUAAUAGACAGUGGCAAGCAGGGUCGUCUCCUCAGGGACUGAGGAUAUUUGUCUCUUUGAAGUUCCAAUUGGUAAAAAGGGGGGUUUUAUCGGAAUAAAACUAAAAAUAUUUAAGCAAUUCAACUAAAAACAAAUAAUUAACUAGCACGAAUGUAGAAAGGAAUUAAAUCAAGAAUAGAUAAAUUCUAACCAAGAAUACAACUAUUCAGACACAGUCCAUUCAUCCAAUCAUUGAUGCAAGGGAUGUUCACUUAAUUUAUUAAUAGGUUAGUUAUAGUCGCCAACGAGAGUUCUGACGACCAAUUUUUCCUUAAUUUAUUGAUAAUCAAGGUACGACCAUUGAUUACUGCUAACCAGAAAAUACUCCUAGGUACGACCAUAGAAAUUAAUUCUCCAAUUGCAUUAAGAACUAGAAAAACCUAAUCCCAAUCAAUAACACGCUACGAGGGUUAUUCAAAUCAGAUUGCGCGUCCCCUUAGUGUGUAAAAAUGCUAGUUGCCACUGAUAUUAAUCGAUUAAAUAAUUACGGAUUUAAUUGACUAAUUUGGCAGGCGAUUAAUAAGUCGCAUUGAACAUCGGGCCCUUGACAUUCAAUUAACUAAAUAAUCCCAUAGAAAUUCAAACAGACAACGUGCAAAUAUUAACAAAUUAAGGAACACAUGAAAAUUAAUUCGAUCUCACAGAUAUUCGAGACUGCGUCGUCGCGUUGAUCCUUAACUAGAUGAAAAGCUUAAUCACGCCGCAUAAGUAAAUCUCCACGCAAAUUAAUUGAUUCACAAGGCAUCACGUUUGUCACUAGAUAAUCAAGAAGUAAACGAUGUUUCUCCAAUCGGGACUUUUGUCGAAAAAGAGUCACGCAUGAAAAGGAAAGAAAGAAAACUAAACUGUCUCUAAACAAUGACUAAUGCUCCCUCCGUCGUUCCUGCCGCAUUGAGAGAAAAGGUACAAAAAGAAAGCUCUGCCGAAUUCCUGGUAUUUCGUUUCCUCUUGGUAGGAGGACUCCUAGUCAGCAACUCUUCAUCAACAAAAGGAAAAGGGAGUCCGUUGCUUAGUACCCUGUGAGCCAGAUUCGUGAAGCUUUUUGAAGUCUCCCACGUGUGGAGCAAUUUUCUCCAACAGGUCCCCCUUUUUAGCAUUUUUCAAUUCCACUUCCUGUAGAUGGUCAAAAUAUCAAAUAUAAGUAUAUAUUAACAAUUUAAAACAAUAUUUGGUAAGGACAAAAGGAAAAAUUAAUAAUAAAAUUACUAACAAUUAACACCCUAUCAACGCUUCGUCUUCCCGCUCUGGUGGCCUAUAAAUAGGCUCCACUAGAUGUCACUUUCACGCUUUCUUCCUCAUUUUCUCAGCUCCCCAUCUUUUACUCAGCUCGCUCAUCUCCUCCUCCUACGAGAGUUAGUUCGGGCGUCCUGUCAAGAGUUCAGUCGUGCACUGCUGUCCGUGCGUCUCCCCUAAGCACCACUGAGCGCUCGAGCUCUUUUCCCCUACUCUUACUAGUAAGUUCCUUUUCUCCCUCCUUUUAUAUCUUCUUCCUCUGAGCAUUCUGACAUAACUAGUUCGGCCCCUAGGCGUAGAGUAGCCCGACCUGUACCCAUAAAGGUCAUCUCUUCCUCUCCUUCUCCUUCCAGUUCUUCACCUUCCAGCUCGUUAGAGUCAGAAUAUAUUCCUUCCCCUGCUCUUUCUCCUGUUCGAGCAAUGGCUCAACCCGAACAGCCUAUUCAGCCGAACAACCUAUUCAGCUUGCAGCUAGAACUGCUGCCAAGCAGUUCCACUUGAGGCAACUCCUCUACGAGCUAGGGCAGGGCCCUCCAGGGGGCCCGAUAUUGACUUCGGUGAAGUGGAUCUUAUCCCUCCCAUCCUGGAUCAGGGGGAUGUGGACGAAUAACCCAGCUCAUCCCUCCCAAAGGGGACUAGUGUUGUGGGGCCAAUCCGCAGGAUCGGGAUCGGGACGAUAAGGUUGUCAUGUAAUUGAUGCGACUGCCGAGAGCGCGUUCCGAGCUGAGCUGCGCUGGGCUGAAUGAACUGAGGAUGACCGAACUGGUACUAGCGGGGUGAGCGAGCUGACCUGCAAGAAAGACCAACGGCGGGACUGGUUCCCUGGUGUAGCUCCGACGGUCAAGUCAGUAAGAGUUUAAGAGUAGGGUAACAGCGUAGAUACUGUUGAUGGCGUACCUUGUUUUGUCUUGUGGUAGUGUAUUUAUAAGAUCCCGGGUAGUAGUUUCCCUAUAGGAUUAGGAGUCCGGCUAGAAAGGGAGUCUUUCUAGGGUUUUGUCUGCUAACUCCGAAAGGGUCGUGGGCUGCGGUCCACCAGGCCCAUCCAGUUGGGAGGCGGUGGCCAUGCGCGAACUGUCCUCCCUCCUGCCCGAGUUGUCUAGCCAAAUUGCCAGGUCACAAUGUUCGAACUGACACAUGGCUCCUGCGGAUUGGCCCCACUACAGCUUUCUUAAACUUUUUUCUCAUUUCUUUCCAAUUUGGAAGGAAAAAUUUUGGCUACUAUUCAUGCUCUUAAAUUCUUCCACUUCCUUUCUUUUCUUUCCUACUAAAAACUAACAAAUGAAGGAAAAUUUAACUUUUUCUUCUUUCCAUUUCUUUUCUGUCCAAAUCCUCCACUCCCAAACGAGCCCUUAGAUUUAUAUAAUAAAUAUACAGUGUGCUUUUGAUUUAAAAAGUGAAAUCCUUUUUUUUCUAUUAGUGUUUAAUUUGAAAUAAAUCUUAAAUUUUUGUUAGAGAUAAUCAAUAUAAAGUAUUUUUUUGGAGUAAAUGUAGAAUAAGUGAGGAAUAUAUAAAACUUCAAAAGAUAACCUAUAUAAAGAAGGGAAUUUUCUUAAAUUUGACUUACAAAUGAAAGAGAGAAUUUUAUAAAAUUCAGGGGUGCAAACAUGGUAUAAACUUAAAAAUUUUGAAAAAUUUGAAGGCCGUUGUACAAUUUUAUCAAAAUUGAGGGGGCCGGGGAGGGAGGGCAAUUGUCUACUCCUCAAUCCUAUGUGGCUGGAAUACUUAUCAAUGGAAUAGAUAGUAUAAUAAGAUUUUAACAGCAAAAAUUGUAGAAAAAGGGAUUCUUUGCCGAACUAUUCGACCCAUAAUCUGAAGCAUGUAGUGUUUUGGAGCAAGGGGGUAAGGUGGGAUCAACUCCAUGGCUCAGAGAGGCAAAGUGCCAUUCAUCGCCUAAUAGAUAAAUCCUUCUCUCAGUUAAAAGCCACACUGGUUUGCAACUAUCAAUUUGAAAAAAGAAAGCUAAUUUAAGAGGCAAUAUUUUAAGUUGUUUAAGGAAUAAAAAUGUUGAAAAAGCAUGAACUCAACUUUGGCCUACAAUAGGUUUUUUUUCUGUCUCAACAAUUCUUUUCUUAAUAUUCUUUUUAACUUUAGUGCUGUCAAUUUACUUCAUGGCCCAAAGGCAAAAAAACAAAGACUAGUGAUUGACACAAGAACAAUCUUUAAUGCAAAUUUCAAACUCAUUAAGAAAUGAGAGUGUGAAAUAAACAUUCAACGCGAAGCAUCUAAGCUGGAUCGCAGGCUGGAUGACAUUGAAAUUGUGGUGAAGAUAAGUUUUCAAAGUCUCUUUCAUUUCAGCUUACCUGUUCAUUGAUAGUUUCAUGCUUUAUGAUAAAAUUUUUUUCUUGAGCACUUUAUGAAAAGAAUAUUUAACUCAGUUUGCUCACUAACUAAUGAUUACACAAGCACUCAACUUCCGCACAUUUGCACGGGCUUAAUCUUGUAUUCUUUCUUUUUUUUUUAAUAAAAAUAUUAUUAUUUUAUUAAAUCUAUACUAGUGACAAAAAUUAUAUAAAUAAUAUACGGAUACAAACAGAUCUAAAUAGCAAGUGCUAAAUGUUACAGAUCUGAAAAAUUAAUAGAAUAUUAUACAGUGGAACUCACAAAAAUCAAAUGAUAAAACAUUUAUUGCUAAGAUUAUCUAUGCAUGCUUCCAAUUGUACGGUUUACUUCUUCCAGAUGGUAGGGUGAAAUCUGAGGGAUACAUUUAAAAAUUUUCAAAUCUGGCAAUCAACUUCGAAAAAACAAAAAAGAUCUAACACAAGAAAUAGAAAAACUACAAAAAGUCUCACCAGGAAUCCCACAAAAUCACGAUCGCCAUCUUUACAGCAGCCAUCGUCAACCAUUUGAUCUUCAAUUUUACCGUCUUUGGAACAAAAUUUUUCAUUAGAUUUCAUCAUAUAGCCCAAUCUUGCAGUUCAUCGUCACUGUGCCAGCACUGAAGUAAGCCCUCUUUUCCAAAUUUUCUUUUUUUGUAACUUGAAAUUUGUGUGAAUUAAUAUGCGCAACCUAUGGAUGUUUGGAUCUUUCAUAUUAUUAGUCUCCUCGAAUUUGUUCCUUUGUUCAUUCGUAUGCAAUUUUUUAAUCACAUAUUCUGUUUACCUGAGGAAGUCUGAAUUGUGAUGAAUUUUGUAUUGAUUCAAUAUCAAAUUUGAUUAAAGGGAAAAAGAAACUGCCCUACGAUCAUAGCAUGUAAGCAUGAUGGAAAAAUGCCUAAACUAAAUACAUUGUUGUUCACUGUUUUUUUUUCUUUGGUGUAAUUGGAUAUUGAAACGGUUGAAGAAAGGGAAAGGAAAAUUUAGGAUUGAAUUGGGGUGUUGGCACUUGCAAUUGAUCUGCAGGUGUUUUUUGUUUUCUUACAGUUGAUCAUGACGGAUUAUUAUGGACGAGUUCCAUGGGAAUUAUCAUCAGUUACAAAAAGAAAAUAAACGGGAAGUGCUUCAUAGAAUGGUAUCCUGAGAUAGUGAUUGUGAAAUCAGUAGCCAUCGCAAGUGGAUUGUCAAAAUUAAAGAUGUAAAGACAUAUAAGACUGCAGCUGGAUUGUGAUGGCUAAUCUUAUCCUAUGUAGUGAAACUUCUUGAUCUAUGAAACUCAUGUACAACAUGAGAUAUAUGUACACCAGUUAAUUUAUUUGGGUCUUUACAAGUAAAUUUUCACUUCAGAUUUAUUGUAGUGUUAUUUGAAACCAUGAAAACAGCAGAGAGAAGUUGAUCAUGAAAAAAACUACUAUAGCUGACAAGAUUGGCGUUAUUUGGAUUGUCGGUUUUCACUUAAAAAUUUUGAAGUAUUUUCUCAAUAUAUUUUUCAAUCACUUUUUUAACUCACAUACAUCACAUUAUUAUAAUAUAUAUAUAUAUAUAUAUAUAUAUAUAUUUAACGAAACUCUAUAAACUUACAAUUCAAACUGUAACUUUUCAUUGUAGUGCGUCCUUUAAAGUGACUUUCAUUUUAGUCCGUCCAUUUUAAGUGAUUUUAGUGCGUCCACUUCAAUUCAUGCACAGGAAGGACCGGUCCCAGAAUUCUGUAGCAGGACAAUGAUUUAGCGUGGCCUGGAAAAUUCUAUGGAAACAAGGCAAGAAUGUCACCUUUGGGGUGUCCAAUAAUGUUAGUGUCAAUCAACCUCACUAUUAAAAGAAGAAAAGAUUGUUGAUAAAUCCAUACAUCAAAUCCGUAUUCAAUAUCUUUACUCGAAAUUGUGCUCCCCCAAGGAAGUACAAGUAAACUUUUACCCAUCAAAUUUGCAUAAACAAUUUUGUGGCCUAGAGAAAAGUUCAACCUAGGAUGUUCAAGUAUAAGAUAAACAUGAAUGAAGGGAGAAGGUUGAUUGAGGCCCUAUUCAUCCUCAAAUUUGAUUACAUAUUCCAAUCUAUUGCCACAAAAAAAAAAAAUCAUGCUCAGCAAAAAUUAUUUUAAAAUAUAUGAAUAUAUGUGAAAGAGGAAGAGAAUAAAUACACAAUAUAACUUAAUAGUUUUAUUAACUAAACUCAACAAUAAUGCUCACAAAUAACAAGUUCUGAGUACUUCUAAUCUAAUUGGGUGUGUGUGUUUCUGUCUAUAAGAGAGAGGAGUAUCUCUCUCCCAACAUGAUAAAUGUUUAUAACUUGCUGAACUUUAAUAACCGGGACAUUAGGAAAUAUUUCUUUCCCGCAUCAACUUCGAAAUUCUUCUACUUACUAAACCAACAAAUAAAAAAACUUGCCACAUAAGUAAUUUAAUUUAAUAAUUAGGCUUGGUUUAAUUAUCUACACAACCAUUUGUCAGAUUUCUUGGGCAAUUACGUAGUCAACCCAACCUUGCUAACUGUCAGCGUAGAAGGACCUUAGAAAUUAAAUAACAGCUUAUCAUGCACUGCAUAAAAUACGUUUAUCUGUAGAGCUCGAGCUCGUAAUCAAUUUGUGAGUCACACUGAUCAAUUUGUGGGUCUUAGAGGUUUGAAGUUAAGAGGUAAUUCCGGCGAGAUUUGGAGUUGGGAAUUUUUUUUAUUUGUUUUCUUGCCUCCCAAGAUCUUAUUCUCCUUUAUUCCUUUGUUUGUUAUUACUUCUUUUUUUUUUUAAUGAGUUUUAAGAAGUUAUGGUGAUAGUGGUGGUUAAGAGGUUGAUGAUGAUAGUGGUGAUGGGAUGAUCAAGAGGUUGGUGUUGAUAGUGUGAUGUUCGGCUAAUGAAGACUGUGAGAUUUGGUAUGGAUUAUUACUUGAUUUCUAUUUCUUUUGAUGAAUUUUUAGAUAUUAAUUUGUGCUUUUUGAAGGGAUUUUGUCUGAGGAAUAUUUGUAGGGUUUAUGAAUUUGACUUUAUUCAGAAGAUGAAAAUAAAGGAAGGGUUAUUUUUGGAGGUUUGGUAAAUUUGAGGGUAAACAUGUAUAAUCUCUCUCUCUUUAUCAGAUUUAACUUAGUUUGUAAAUUGUGCAAAAAAUUAGAAGUUGAAGUAAUGGACUGCUAAAUUUAAAGUUUGGGAUGCAAGUUCCAAUUGCGAAAUUGUUGAGGGGUGCAAAUUACAAUUAACACUAUUUCUAUUUUAUUUUAUAUAUACAACUUGUUAAAGGACAACUAAGGAGGCAAUGGGGCGGGGUUGGGGUGGGGGACCCCAUCUCCGUCCGCUGCCCUACUGCCUACAAAUUCCCCCCCCCCGCGCCCAUCCCCAUCCCCCGCUUCUCCGGUGGCCUAAUAAAAAUUUAUUAUAUAAUUUUAUUAUAGUUAAAUUUUAGCAAAUAAUCAAGUACUAAAAUAUCAAUACAUCACCAAAUUAUUAUUCAUUGUAAUUUCACAAUUGAAACUUAUAAAAACAAUCAAACAAAAGUUAUUUGAAUACAAUCCAAUAGGAUGAAAUAAAUACAACUAAAGUAGUCAAGUUUCACUUUGGCACAAAUACAAUCACUAAUUCAUUAUUGUGCUUGUGCUUUUUUUGAGAAAAAAUGUUAUUGUAUUAAGUGUAAUUAGGGAUGUAGUAUAAAUGUAUUAGUAAAUUUAGUAUAACUGGUGGCUGUCAAACUACAAAAAUAAAAUUUAUAUUAGACCUACUACCAAAACUAAACAAGUAUAGUGGUAAGUAGGGUCGUCUCCUCAGGGAACCGGUAGAUUUAUCGCACACAGGUAAUUGGGGAAUUUUUGAAGAGAGAGAGAUAAGUGAAACAAAUUAAAGACAUAAGAUUACUAAAUAAACAAUCGCAAUAAAUGCAAUAACUCAAGAAUGAAAUAAACAAUUAAUUGACACAACCUAGUCAAGGAGAUAAUCUCGGCACCGGUUCACACAAUGAUUAUAGAUACCAGGAUAAUUCACACGUUCGCGAAUAAAUUGGUUCUAUCAAUUUAGCAACCGCCAAACUCCCAAUCUCUCCUUAAUUAUAUGGUAGUCCAAAGACGCUCUUAAACUACCCUAUUGUAAAUUAGAUAACCCCAGAGACACUCGAAGGAUUUAAUCUAAUCACAACUUUAGGAAUUAGAGAACCCAAUUCUAGUUAACAAACACACAUGCGGGUUCAUUUAAACUAGAUUAAUUAUUCCCACGACCCAGAUUAGAUUAGACUGCUUGCGAGGCAAUGAAAUUGUGCCAUUCGCCACUAAUUUAAAACAUUCAAGUGAUACGCACGCCUGUCCUAAUUGGCAAUAUAUUAUUUAGACAAUUGAACAACUGGCCAUAUUGAUCCAAUCAAUCCAAACAAUAACAGGCAAUUCAAACAAAGAAUAAUUAAAUACUCACAAACGCAGAAUUUAGAAUAAACAAAAUGAUCUCACAAUUAUUCAUGCUCCGGGCCUUGAUACUCCUCAACUAGAUAAAGAAAUUAGCCUUGCCGCAUAACGACGAAGCAAUUCAAAGUUUUCAUAGUAAUUUCGUUCAUGAAGAAAUCAAAAGUACGUCGGCUAGUUCUAACAAAGAUAAAAGCAAACGAGAAAAAGGUCCAAGUCAGAAGAUGAGAUCCCUAAUCUAUUGCAAUCUUCCUAUUUGUAGUGUCGCCGCCGCUUCCCCUUGCUUUUCGAAUUAGAAUUUGUUUCUCAAAAGGAUUUGCGUCCUUAUUUUCCUCCUUGAAUUGUUGCCAAAAGUCUUCUUUGAAAAGGCUUCCUAAUCCCACGCAGGUUCAAAAGGUGUCUCCAAAGAAUAGCGAAAGCUCCAGGGAUAACUGACGGUGGCUCCGUCUUUUUCACGCAGCUCUGCGUUAUCUGGCGUGGGCACCCAGAGAAUGCCUAGCCUUCUGGAAUUUGCCCUCCUCUUGUCACUUUUAACACACUCUCUCUGCAAAUAACACAAAUACCAAAUAUGGGCAGAAAUCCAGUGUCUUACACAUUAAGACCAAAUAACAGCGAAUAAAACACACAAUUAUCUCCCUAUCAAUAACCAAUUAAUAAUUUGUAUUAGUACAUAUAUAUAAUUAUUAGUAUAAUUGAUAAUAUCAAUUAUAUUACAUAUACUAAUAUACAUUAUAUAAUACAUAUAACUAAUAAUAUCAUUAUCAUAAGUUUGUAACUAAUUAAAUUAUAUAUUAUAUAUAUAAUUAUAUACAUAGAUAUAUUAUAUAUUUAUUUUUUUAAAGCGGGUGGCGGGGAGGAGAUAGGGCGGGGGUACACUCCCCUGUCUCCCACCCCAUUUCUAAGCCCCAGGGGUGGGGGGGGGGAAUUCCCCUCGGCCCCGUACCACCUCCCACCCCAUUAUCCCCCGCGGGACGGGUACCGGCGGCCACCCGCCCCAUUGCCAUCCUUAGGGACAACUGUCGUAUUAAGAGAAAUAUUUUAAAGGGAUAAUUUCAUAAACCUCCCCUGAGGUUUUUGAUAAUUUUAUGUGGCUCCCUUAAAGUUUCAAAAAUUACAUCUACCUCCCUUACCCAUUUAAAAUGACAAUACUAAUCUUAAUAUUUUAAUAAAACUCUCUUACUUCCAUGUUUAUAAAAAGGAUGGAUUUUACAAUUUUUUUUCUUUUUUCCUUCUUAUUCAUUUCUCUUAUAUUUCAUUAGAAGUAUAAAAGAACUAUCAAUGUUGUCGCUAAUAUCUAUCCAAAUCAAACUUUAAACUAGUAAUUUUUUUGAUGACUUUUAAUAUCAUCCAAUUUUUUGUAGCUCUUUUUUUUGUAUCAAAAUCAAGAAUAAAUCAACAAUAAUUAAAACACAAAUGGCCCAAAAUCACUACCAAACUAUGGUAGUUCUAUCACUAAACUAGUCCAUAAACUUUUAUUAAAAAAAUAGUCCAAAAAUUUCAAAAGCACAAGGUAACACUUUCUUGUCUAUCUUAAAAAGAAUCUAUAUUCCCAAUAAAGCACUAUAAAAAAUAGCUUAUCAUAGCAAAAGAUUUAUUGUUAUAGUUGAUUAUUAAAUAACAAAUAUUGACAUGAAAAACUUGGGACUCUUUUAUAUAUAUAUUAUAUAUAUAAUUGUGUCAAAUUACUUUACAAUUGUUUAAAAGAAUGAAUUGAACUUUAUAAUUAUCAUCAAACUUUGGCAAUCAACCUUUCCUUACUUUAUCGAUAAUCAGAGUAUGGUCACUAACUACUUCUCUGACUAAAAGAUAACCCAAGGUACAACCAUAGGAUUAAAUCUUUUAACAGCACCAAGAAUUAAAAAAACCUAAUUCUAAUCAACAAACAUGUUGCAAGAGUUCAUCUAAAUUAUAUCAUAUAUUUCCUGACAUAGACCCAAUUAUGCUAGUCAACACAAAUAUUAAAACAGACAAACAAUUACAAAUUUAAUUAUUUCAAUUGACAGUAGACUAUUGUGAAUAAUCAAAUAUUGGCCACUUAUUUAAUUACACACAAUAAUCAUCAUACACGUAAUACAGGAGAUAUACAAAUACCCACGAAUAGAUGAAACAGUAAACUUAAAUUAGAUAUCAUAAUUGUUUGUAGAACCAAGUUUUUGAUUAUCCUCUAAUUAGAAAGAAAAUUUAGCCACUUCUUAUGGAGAAAUGCAGCCAAGAAAAUUAGGUUUUUGUCUUGAGAGAAGAAAAAAGAUAAACCACCUAACUACGAUGACAAAGUGUAGAGAGAGUUGGGAAUUAGAUAUCGAUAUUCUCACCCUAACAAUCUAUAUGAUAAUCUCCUAAAAAUUAUUCCAAUAAAAGGAAUUAUCUUCCAUACUGGAAUAAUCUAUUUUCGUAGAUAAUGAUAUAAUAAUAUCCUUACUAACUAGUUGCAUCCAAAAAUAAAGUUUUCAAGGCUGCAGAGAAUCAAUCAAUUAUUCUCUUUAAUUGUUGAAAUUAAUCUCAGGUCCCACAACUUCUGAAUUUCCUAGGCUCUUUAAGGCGUGCCCAUACUUUUAUAGCAAAUAGACUUUUCAGCAACUCUUUUUAGUCCUCUUUCAUCCCAAAUUCUUAUGACAUCACUAAAACACAAAAUAUAAGUAGAAUCCACAAAAUAACACAAUAAUCUACUAAAAUGAAAGGAGAAUUGACACAAACUAUAUCUCAAUUAGGCACACUAUCAUUUAGUGACACAUGAUGAUGUAAGUAAUAUUACAUUAUUAUGAUGAUAUAUGUGCUCUUGAGUAUGCACCACAUCGUCCAUGAGUGGUUCCGAAAAUCAAGUUUUUAAGAAGGUUUUAAAACUGGAAAUCUUACCGGGUCAUAGGUUAUUAGUUCAAUCGUUAGGCUACAUGCUGUGUUUUCAGACUCGGACCGGAUCGGCCGGUCGGACCGGUUGGACCGGGAACCGGCCAGGCAUCCGGUCCGAGUUAGUUAAAAAACUCGGAUGUUAUAAAAUCGGUCAAACCCGGUCCGGUGAACCGGAAAUUUUGAUUAACCCCGGUUUUUUUUUCUUUUUCGGCCUUUUUUUAGUCAGAGUUUGACAAAUCGGACAAAAUUGAAAAUUGACAAGGUCACAAAACUUGCGUCGGCUACUCUGCUGCUUCUCUUCUCAUACAUUUUCUUCCUUUCUUGACUUUCUUCUUCAGAUCUCCACCGCAUCUCUUGAGAUUCAUCGAUCAUCCUUCAAUCUCUAGCCUCCACCGCCGCAACAGCCACCAGUUCCUUCAGAUUUCAAGACAAUCAAGUAAUUAGCAUGCGGGUGAACUGAAGCUUUGUUUGGUAAUUUUUACAAUCUGAAGGUUAUUAUUGCUGAUUCGUUAUGCUAAAGUUGAUAUGUGACUGGAAUUUUUUGAUUCAUUAUGCUGGACAUUUGGGAUUUGGAUAUUACGGGUGUGACUGAGAAGCUGGAGUGUUUAAUUAUAUUUGGGAUUUGGGAUUGGAAUAGUGGGGUCAGGGGAUCAGGGAAAACGGCUCUUACACGGAAGGUGUUUGAUAUUUUGCCUGUGAGGAGGAUGUUCUCACCGAGGAUUUGGGUUUCUUAUAUGAUACCCUUCAUGAUGAACCGGUGAGCGUAGACUUGAGAGUGAAGAUAUUGAGGAAAAUGCUAGAGGCAGUCUGGUUGUGAUGUCUCGGAAAUGAUGACUACCUAUGUUGACAUUCCCAAGCUCACUCAGAAGCUUUACCAACGGUUAAUGGGCAAGAAACUGAGUUCUCACUUCUGGUCUAUCUUCGCUUGGAUGUUCAAAGUUCCAUGCAGCCAUCAAUGUAAAUUUCUGUGAUAUUUGUCUCUAAGCAAUGAAAACUUAUUUUGUCUUUUGUCUUAAAAAAAAAAGAUUGAUAUUUAUCAAGCAUUUGAACAUGAACUUGCUACCUUAUUUGGAUUGCUAUUUUUUAAGGAUUAAACAUGUAUGGGAUUUCUAUUUUAUAAAUUUUGUGAGUUUGGAUGAAUUUGGUUAUAUUUUGUAAAUUUGAUUUGCAGGUAUAUAUAUAUAUAUAUAUAUAUAUAUAUAUAUAUAUAUAUAUAUAUGAGGUAUAUAUGAUGUCAUCCGGGUCGACCCCCUAUCGACCCCCGUCGAAUCCAUUGACCCCACGACCUGACCUCGACCGAGUCGAGUCCUGGUCCGAGUCUGAAAACAUAGGCUAAAUGUUACCAAGUCAUUGUUAAUCUGUGACAUCAUAUAUAUCAUAAAUAAUUAAUGUCAAAAAUCGUUCAAUACGUCCCUUAUAUUUUGCUAAAUGAUUUUUUUGGUCCUUCGCUUUUAAAAUGUUAAUUUUAUAUCUAUUACAAAUUCAAGUUAGCAAAAUUUGGUUCCAAUCUAAAUUUUUGACUACUUUUUAGCCUAAGAUCGCCAUGUGACCUAUAUGCAAUCAUUUUUUAUGUAAAAAAAAAAUGUCAAAUACCACUUUUUUAGUGAUAAAAAUAAAUAUGGAUUGGGUCAAAUUCCAUUUUUGUUUUAAAAAAAUGAAUAUGAUUUGGAUUAGAUCAUACUUUUUAAAGUAAAAAUGAAUAUGGAUCGAAUAAUUUAUUUAACUACAAAUGGGAUGUAACCACUGUUUAAUACUAACAACUGUUAAGUGGAUAGGAACACGAAUAGUAAGAAAUUUUGGAUUUUGUAAACAAUUUUGAGCAAAAUUAUAAUUUUUUAAAGGUGAAAUGAUAGAAACUUAAAUAUGAGGUAACAUUGAAAUCUAAAAGUAAGUAUGAGGGCUAAAUGGUAAAAUGUCAAAAAGUAUAGUGCGUUAAUCGUUUCCUAUAAUUAUAUAUGCUAAUGUGGGGCCACAUUUUUUUUUUUUAAAAAAGAAAAGCAAGACUCAAAACGGUUUAGUAAAAACACGUCGACGGUUCGUUGGUCCGACCAAACGAUCUAGUUGGUUUUUACUAUCUAGACCGAUUUUUUGAUCCGUCUUAGUUUGAGACUUGGUUUAGUUCAGAAAGCUACUCGAUCAAUAGUUCAAUCAGUUCGCUCAAACAGUCAAAACUGAGUUUUAUAAUAUUAGUUUUUAUUUAAAUAUUUUCAAUACCCAUUUAUAAGAUUAUGGCAUUUGUAAGUUCUCCAAGAACCAAAAAUAAAAAGAUAUUUGUGCUAUAGUUGAAAUGAUGAGUGAAGAAAUUUACUGAUGCUGUCAAUAAUGUAUCGACGGGAUACUUAAGCAACGAAUAAUACUUUUCUUUGGGUAAACUAUCAAGUAUUAUUGAUGAAGCACAUAUUACACGAACCUCCAGGGGGAUGGCCACUAUUUGGCCCGUCUUCAAUUCGCCACACAAGUAGCUGGACUCAUCUAUAAAAGGGUCAAUCUUUGGGCAACCAAAUGCACGCCAAACCCAAAAAUACACACGAAAGCAAGCCUGCAAAAACAACAGAGAGGAAAAAAUGGCUCCCUGUUUUAGAGCACUAGUCAUAGCAAUAACAUCGCUGUUGAUGAUAUCUUCAGUGAUCAGGUCUUCCGAUGCUGCUGGAAUUGCCACCUACUGGGCCAAAACACCGACGAAGGAAGCCUGGAAGACGCAUGCCGGAGAGGUACCUAUGACUACGUGAAUCUUGCCUUUCUGAUAAAUUAUGGCAAUGGCCAGACACCAGAAUUGAACUUAGCUGGGCAUUGUGAGCCAAGCGCUUGCUCCUCGCUUAGUUCUGAGAUAAAAGCUUGCCAGAAACGAGGCAUCCAAGUGCUUCUUUCUCUCGGUGGAGCUCCAAACCUUUCUUCACGCGAUGAUGCUAAGGAAGUCGCGUCCUAUCUCUAUAAUAAUUUCCUUGGCGGUGAAUCAGAAAAUCGUCCAUUAGGCGAUGCUGUCUUAGACGGUAUAGACUUUCAUAUCCAAGCUGGAAGGAGGGAUUUCUUGGAUGAUCUCGCCAAGGCGCUCUCAGAAUAUAGAACAACAGAGAGAAGGGUGCACUUAUCUGCAGCACCACAAUGUUCCUAUCCUGACUAUUAUCUUGACGCUGCUACCAGAACUGGCCUCUUUGAUUAUGUGUGGGUGCAAUUUUACAACAAUCCGCCUUGUCAGUAUAGUAUGGGCAAUGCCAACAACCUCAUCAACAGUUGGAGCUCUCAUUGGGCUUCACAUCCAGGAGUUAACAAACUAUUCCUGGGAUUACCUGCAUCCCCUGAAGCCGCUCCUUCUGGCGGUUACAUUCCACAUCGGAUGCUUAUUCGUGAAGUUCUUCCCCAGGUCCAGGACUAUCCCAACUAUGGAGGCGUCAUGCUUUGGAACGUAUACUAUGACGAGAAUUAUAGUCAGGCAAUCAGGCCUUAUGUUAACCCUGAAACUCUGACUUUUGAUCGCAGGUCCACGAUUAAGUACCCAAGAAAGUCCAUGAUAAAGUCUUUUGUGGAUGAGUAAGUUCCUCUCAUUAUCUUAUGAGAGAUGAAAUAAGUAUAAUCCUGGUGGUUUAAGCCAGAGAUCAUGUUAAUAAAUAAGUUCCUCUCAUUAUCCUAUGAGAGAUGAAAUGUAAUCCGGGUUGCUUUUGCAAGAGAUAAAUUGAAUAAAUAAAUAAAACAUGGGUUUUCAAUCCCCAAAAUAAGGGCAGUCGCGUUUGAUUUUUUUUAAUUCGUGUUUGUUCUUGAGUAAAAACUAUCACGAACAAUAUCAUUAGUUUUAAUUUCCCCUUACUCUUCAGAAAAAAAAAGGGUAUUGAAAAAAAAAGAACAUGCAAAAGGUACUAGAUCAAAAUCUCUCACUCGCUAGACAAAGAAUUUCAAGAUAACAGCCCUUGAUCCAAUCCGCAUUCCAAUGCAAGUUCCUGGUUUUACUUAGUAUGAGGAACCUUGGGCCAUGCGAGAUCAAAUAAAAAAACAAUAAUAUCAUCAGAUAUUUAUUCUCCAAAAUCAAUAUAUUUAUUCAAGAGCAUUUUACAUUUCAGUACACCUUUACUGUUGAGAAUAUUACUGUUCUGUUAGCUUCUAUGCAAAGUUUGUUUCAUAUGCAAUAACGUACUUAGUAACUAAACUUCCAUCACUUGCAGAUAUUAAUCCAGGAAAAAGAUGAAUAAUUGUUUUCUUUUAUAUGAAUUAAUCUUCUAUACACUGACAGUGUAUACACUUUCAUCAUUAGUGCAUGACACAUAAUUUAAAUUUAAAUUUAAAACUCAAAUAUUGGAUAUGUAUCAUAUUGUCACGCCCGAGCCCGCACGUGCCCGUCACAUGACAUUCGCCGUACUCCCAAGUCCCACUCAGGAAUACAAGGCUACAUUAACUAAAUUAACUUGACAGUACUAAAUAAUUUAAACAAAUAAAGUGCGGUUUGAAUUACAUAUAAAAGGAAGUCUACGAAUAUUCAAGAUGUUCGUACAUUUAUUGGAACAGCGGAAACAAAAGUAAAUAAGACUAGCAACUAGAGGUAGCUAGCCUGCCAACUUCUAUUCAUCUAAUGCUAAUAAAAGUCAUCCUCAGGGUCUUCUACGUAAACCAAUUCAUACUCUUCAAAAUCUGCAAAAAUGGUAAGAAGUGGGUUGAGUGACACAUCGCUCAGUAGGUAAUAUUUACCCCUCUGUUGGACCAUGCACUCUUAGUUUUAUAGAUACAUAUACAAGUAUAAGUAAAACUCAAAUCGUUUGUCUAUCAUUCACAUCCGUAAUUUUGAAAAGUAAUGUCAUUUGUAAAGCAAUCAGCAGUAAAGAAAGACAAGCAAUUUAAAAAGCAUCUUAUUGAUAGUUGUACAUUAGAAAUUGUAAAGUCAUAAAUCAUUUCAUCUCAAGUCACAAAUCUCUUCAUAUCCAUUCGUAAAUCAACUCAUAUCAGUUCAUAAGUCUCAUUUCGAAUCAGUUCAUAAAUCAUUUCAUAUCGGCUCGUAAAUCAUUCUUUGAGAUCAGCUCAUAACAAGUACAUGUAAUGACCGGCUACUGAGUACUCAGCUUAGAAAUUAAACCCCUUCUAAGUGGGCGACCAAUAGAUUUCGCGACUAUCGAUUGAUCUCAUUCAUAUUUGGGUCAAUCGGCCGGACUCUAUACCAGGCUACCAUGGCGAUUAGACAGGACUAUAGCCCCUACCGUCUAUUCCAUGACUGCUCUGAGCUUCACUUGUCAAAAU